rnacentral:lncRNA from 1 species
CCCCGUUUCCCUUUCCAUCUUCGAUUAGGACGAGGUUACGCACCUUGAAUGAUCGAGCGGCAAUUGCAUGGGUUCAUGUGUGUGCGUGCGCGUGUGUGUGAUUCCCACGACAGUGGUGGUUAUUUGCGAUGUCGCUGCAGGUUUGGAAUGGUGGGAGGCUGCGCAGUUGGUGCAGAACUAUGGGGGAUUUUCGGGUGUCAGCUGUCACGCGUAAAGAUGCAUGGACUUUCAGUCUAACUUGUAGCGUCGGAUUUUAUUUGAAGGGUAAGAAAUCUGAUAUUUUUCAGGGGCUCAAGCUUUGCUGUAGAGUUCUCAACCUAUAUAUGAAAACAUAUUGUUACUCUUGGAGGUGGUCAUCAAUAUUUCACUGCUUGGACCCUUGAUGCCAAUCUUAAAGAGUUGAUCAUAGAUGUCAUUGCAUUGCAGCUGGAAUGUAAGGUUGGAUUCUAAGUGGAGGCAGAUGAGCUACAACUAAGGCACCUUUUCUUAGACCUUCUGAGUUUGAUUUUUUUUUUAAGAUGGUUGCACAUAUAAAUGGUUGCUUUAAUCUGAGAAGUGAUUGUAUUUAAAAAAUGAUCUUAAUUCUUUGUGUUCCGAGUCAUGGUGUGAAACAAUCCUGAACAAUACUACGGACCUCAAUAUCGAGAAUAUUUAUAAGUUGUAUGUGAUGUGUGUAUUUACUGUAGGUGUUUGGUGACGAGAGAUGCGAUGAACAUUCUGAACACAUUACUUGCGAAAAAAAUUGGUUCUUAUGAGGGAUGAACAAUUCUUUGGCAUAUCUGAAAUUUCGAUGGCAAAGUGGCACCGGAGUGUCUUAUUUCUGCACCUUCAGGAGGAAUAUCCUGACACAGAAAUGAAUCUAGCUGGACAUAUUUGCAUGCUCGAACAGCUUCUGCGGAAGGAAAAGGAAAAGCUGGCAAGCGAGCUAAUGGAAAUUGCAAGAGAAAAAACAGAAAAUAAAAGGCAGCAAGAGGAACAUUAGCAAACGCCAAAAGCCAGAGUGACAGCAAUCAAGUCACCAGAUAUGAUAGUGGUCCUUUUAAAGAAACGCUGUUCUGCCUUCCCCUGGGUCUCUGAGCAGAAGCAAGCAGGAGGACAACGAGCAGCGCUCUUCUAUCAUGUAUGUCUUCUUCACUGUAAUGGUAGCAAUAGCACGUUCAUAGGUUGAUGGUAUAUUUUCCUUGUAUCAGUUCUUAAUUUCUUUCUACACAUAAGACUGAAUUCGAAAAGAAUCAAGUGUUGGUCCCUUACUAAAUUUGUGUUUUACAUGUUAAAGCUUCAUUAUCUGAAGCCAUGCUCGCAUGGUAAUUCUUUUUUGAGAUUUUUACAAGUUCCCUAUACGAAGUACUGUAUCCUAAAAAAUACAAUAAAAACAUAUGUGUAAGCAGUGUCACCGUCCUUGCAUCUCCUAUGUUCAGGAGGCCUUCACCUCAUCUGAGGAUGUUGGCGCUCCGUGUCUAUGUGUGUGUUACUUUAUUUUAAUAUUGCAGCUGCACGAUGCUCAAUAUCGAGGUUAUCAUUUGUCGUCGAGGCAACAAAAUGAUUAUACGGAUUGUUUGUUUAUCCAUGUUUCUAUCUGCAAUUUUUUAUAUAAGACUAUUAUUUUUCAUCGAUUUAUUUUUUGCUACCUCCAUGUGAGCAGAGAGAAGGUAUUCGACUUUCAUGGUUCAAAGGACUGAUGUUUUCACUUUUAUUGUCGCACAAAUGGUCUAUCUCUUAUGAACUAAAAGAAAUUUAGGUCCAACAACCAAGCUUAUUUUAUAGCUGCUAUAAAUCAAUUGAGCAGACUAGGAGGUAUUCCAUUAAUUAUCACCUGUGUGGAUGCAAGGAAUUCCAUAAUGAUAUUCCAUAUUCCACUAGAAGAGUACUUCAAGAAAACGACAUUUUUGUUCUUGGAAUUCUGUGCAUAAUAGAAGUUGCUUGCCUUAGAAUGUUGUGAAUUUCUGUUGUGUCCGUUUUUUGCAUGAUCUCUUCACAUGAAUGGGGAUUGAUGCCACAACAAUAUUCUUCACUAUUUGUGUUCUAGCAACCAUUCCUACUAUCGUGUAGUAGUAGUUCUAUUAUUUCAGAGUCCGCCAUCUGUGAGGUGCAUCCUCAAUCACCAGCAGUAUCAUCACACAAUGUUUUUUCUUACUCUUUGUGGUACAUGUUACGCCUUCUUCAUCCGGCAAUAACAUCCUAGGAGUUAUGCUUAUCCACGAGGUUUGCCUUUUCAUCUUCAAAUUUGCGUAGAUUUUCCUUCCCUACAAUCCCAUUGUCUUGCGACGAGCAGCUCUUGGGUAUUUGCUUUGUUCGUAACAUAGUGUUUGUAAUCAUUUUUGGCUUGCUGAUGAUGUUUGCCGCAGUUAAUUUGUUGCAGGUACAAUCGCCAAGUCCUUGGGACUGGAUCUGGGUUUUUCUGGUUCCAGAAUUCCUUGGCAAAGAAUUCCCAAUGAUUGCUAGCCAGGAUAGCUCAGUGGAAUGUCAUAUCCUAUCCAAUAUCCAAAUAUAUGUUAAUAUGGUCGCUUGGGUUCCACGCUUAUGUUUUCUUAAUGAUUCAUGCCAUGCUACUGCCGGCUAUUAUCGUUGUUGUAUAUAUCCUUCAGCUUCUUUAGGUGGUAAAUCCAUAUGUGGAAAUGUAAGCAGACUGUUGCCGUAGUUGUUCCCACAGUCUUAAUGCAUUUCCUAUCUGAUCAAAUGGCAUGUAUAUAGUGUGUAUAAAGCCUGCAAAGGAGAAAUGAUUAUUGACCAUGUCUAGAGUAUGCUUGAUUGUGGGUCUUUUACAAAUUUGGAUAACUUGUUGCUGAUAAUUCAGUAUGAUGUUAAGAACUUCCUUGCAUGAGUUCGAGAAACUGAAUUUGCCAUUCCAUCACAUGUGGACAAAUAUUAAUGCCAUAUAUUAGAUUAUAUCAACAUUACUUCAACCUACAAAGAAUCAAUACAUGAAUUCGAAGUUAGGCAAUUAGGCUUACGAGCUACCUUUUAGAUUAAGCUUCUGUGUAUAAAUGUACUUAACACUUGAAUGCAAAAAGAGCAAAAUAGUAGGGACGAUAAUGCAGUUUUCCUUAGGCAUGGUCCACGUACUUUAUGUUGUUGUUUAUAUAUAUGAUACUAGGGUAUUACUACUUAGUGCUUCUAUGUUCUAUACAUCCAAAAUUUGAUGUAUGAUAUGUCAGAUAUCACUUCAUUAAUUCGUAAUGUUGUUUCUCCGGUUCUAUGUAUUACUUAGUAUGGCUGAGUAAUGCAAUAAGUACUUUAUAACUUUUUGUACGAUUAAAAUUUUAAUCACAAAAUUAAUACCUGUCUUUGCGCACUUUAUUUAUGCAUAAUAUUUAAGAAUACUAUUAUUAUUCUAUCGCAAAAACAGACGGGCGCGGCAACGCGCGCCAUCAACGAUCUAGUAGGGAGAAAAAGGGUACAAGAACCGUCCACCGAGGGUGUUACAACACACCCACACCACCGUACACAAUCCUAGUGGGCCUUCAUAAUUUACACACAACCGACCUCCUCCAGUAGGAAUGGGAGUGUCAGCUCCCCAUUCUCAAAAUCGGAGACCCUGGCCUCAUCUGGCCAGAAGUCAGCCGCCAAACACCCCCCCCCCCACGAGGUUCUUCCGUGAAAAGCUCCUUUAAAAGCAAUAAAUGUGGGAACUAAUUUAAUUCGAGUGCUCGAGGAGUACCUCUCCAUCCUAUAAACAAGGGGUGGAGCACUUCCGCUGCCGUCCAUUAGCGAUGGCUUGGAAGUAGGCGGUAUUAGCGUCCCCUUUUAGGAGCAAUUCUGACCCUCUCUACAUUGCUAGAAGAGCUCCUCACCCUUGAAGAUAUCCAUAGGGGAGGCUUCCAGGUUAUAGCGCAACAUCUAAUCGUCAGCAGAGAGGCCAGAAGUAUCGGCAAUCACAUCCAAAGACUUAAUCUGGUCCAUCAGGGCCCUCUUAUGAGCCCGGAGCUCGGCACCCGGGUUAGCCCUCCAUCCUCGCAUGAAUUGCCGAACUGAUUUUGCACAAUGGUGUCAAAUAUCAACCGCUCAAAACAUCCACGGUGGGGAUGCCACAGCCUCAACCCACCUAAGAUAUACAACGUCCAUAAAACCCAGCUGAAGUAGCCAUGAGGGUUCGAAGUGAAACUGUGACGUCCAAGGAAGGGAGCCUCCCCCGAAGUGAAAAGCAUGGGAGAGUGGUCUGAGCCAAUCCGAGGGACCUCCUUGAGCGAACACAAUGGGAACAUGACCUCCCACUGGAUGACCCGAUCCAGUGGGAGGUCAUGUUUCGUAUACAGCAGAAAGUUCAACGUGUAUUUUUAAAAAAUGUUCACCGUAUAUUGGAAAAAAGUCCAUCUUAUGUUACAUAAACUAAAAAAAAUGUGGAAAGAGAAACUGAGAAAAACCAAAAUCUGAAAAGAAGAAAGAAAACCAAAAAAACAUGAAAUAGCAAAGACUCCUAUCACUCACCUUUCUCCGCGAUGGCCAAGGCCUAAGCAUGGCGACAGAACCCUGUCUUUGCCUGAGAAAUUGAACGACUGUGAACUGUGUGCGAGAUAUAUAACAAAUGGAUUAUUUUUCCUAAAACAAAAGAUCCUUUGGUACUGACCCACCCAAGUACAAAUGAAUUUAUGUCACUAUCUACCAUUCACGUGAUCUACAAAGAGCGAUGGUUUUCUAAUUUGAAAAUGAAUGGCUUAUUUCAUUAUUUUCACUUCCAUGUCUUGGGAGUUAUCCAAUCUCAUCCAGUGUAUUAUUUGCUGCAUCUUUGCAUAUUAGGUAUUUUUGAUAGGCAUAGGCAUUGGGAACCACGGACGGAUAUCCGGUAUUACAACAUGCACCGUUGUUCUUAUCCAUUGUACUCGGCCGCUUCUAGGCACUACUAUCCCUCGUCCACUCAUGCACAGUCAUCCUAUGUGCCAUGCUCUCAUGUCACUCAAGUGAACCAGCAAUCAUAUUUUGGGUGGCUUCCCUGGGAUGGAAUGGCGGUUGGAUAAGCUUCUUCAACAUUAGCAACAAUCAUGAAAAAGGUGGAUCAGAAAAAAAAAUGGCAUUCUCGAUUAUCGAUUCUGGAGCGGCAACACUAGCGGCUUUGAGAGUCACGCAAAGAUGGUGAUUUGUAAUACAUUUAGUAAGCCUAAAUCGCAUGUCAGAUAGUGAUUGGCAAAUUGGUAAGGACAAGUAGAGAGAGCGUAUGGAAUCGUCUCACAAAAGUAAAACUAAAAUUUAAUUAGACAACUCCAUGACCACAAACACUGUAAAUUGUACUUUUGUAAAAUGGUACAACAAUCAUCAGUAAUUUUACGCUCUCACGUGCAAUCAAGCCAAGCGCUACUACGUACCGCACGCGAGCAUUAGCACAUGGUCGCCCACGGAGUUUCAAGUGGGCCAGCCCAACUACUUCCGAUCUUCUUUUUAGAAUUUCUGUGAAUUUAAAAAAAUUUAAGGUUUCAAAAAAUGUUCGUGCACCUAAAAUAUUCUCUAUUAAAACAUCAUGAAUUCAAAAAAGUGUUCAUAAAUUUGAAAAUUUGUUUAUGAAUUAAGAAAAGAGAAAAGAAAACAGAAAACCAUGAGAAUAAAGAAGAAAAACCUUUUGGAACAUUUACAAAACUGAUGGAAGGUUCUAGAGGUUUCCCAAAACCAUGGUGAACCAGUUGCAGAUUACAUAAACAGUAAAAAGAACAACCAGUCUCUAGUGGCCAACUGGCAGGCCCGCCGUGCAGAGCAGAUAGAGGAAGGCAUGCCGACGAGCUCGCUGGAUGUCUUCGAUAACGACCCGACGAUGGUUGUGGCCUCUGACGACGAGCUGGCGCCCCUGCCGUGCCAUUCCAUGCCGACUUGACCAUGGAACAGGCGCAAGCGCACGUUGACGAUGUCAUGGCGGAGGAGCAGCUGGAGCCACAGCUGGUGUCGACAUUCCGGUAGGCGAAGGAGGAGCAACACUACAACCUCGACCUCCUCAGGCAUCACUGACAAGCGGAUGUCUAGAUCUAUGGCGUGUUCGCGGGUGAGGAGGCCGUGACAGCCAUGGCCGUGAAGAACUCGAACUUCGUCGUGGAGCAGCAAGCGCUCUACGAGUCCCCUGCAACGCUCGCGCGACCCGGAUGCCCACGCGGCCGCAGACGCAAAAGCCGCCAGCUCCACGUCCUUUUCAUCGGACCUGCGCACCAUUGGCACCGCUACGAUGGCGAGGCCGACCCGUCCACGUCCAUUGUCGACCUCACCUCCACCGAUGACAGCCAGUGAGUGGACUCUGACAGGAAGAGUAGGGCAUCGGAGACGGCAGCGCCCCGUGUCGCAUGUGGGCCGGUCCAUGUCCCAUGUCCCACUCUUCCUCUCCGGUGACCACACCUUCACUUCUUUGGAACCACGUCUGCUGGACAUCGACACGGAGGGGAACAACAAGGACGUGGAGGCGGGACGUUUUCUGGGGCUCACGGCCACCAACGAGGAUUAGGACCAGGUUAACGUCCGAACGCUUUUGUUUAGUUGAAAUAUUUCGAAAUGUAAUGAGUUUGGUCCGAUUUAUAUGAAAAUCAUCCGAUUUGUUAAAAUCCGGUUUGAAAUGUACAAACAUAGUUGGAUGGCUGGCUCCCAUAUUAUUGACCUCGGAAGCGCCCGCGGAAAAGUACAGUGUCUAUUUUAGGGGACCGCGUUGGAGAUGCCCUUAGUACGGGAGAUGAUGUCCAUGAUGUUGUGAGAACAGGGUGUCACCCUGUUGGUUAGGAUAGCAUGGAGCUAUCUAGACCAUCCGGGUUUGAGUCACGGAGUGACCCGUGUUGCUACCAAAAAUACGAUUUUUCUUCAUGAACUUUGUUAAAAGAGCUUUUGUAUCAGCCCAGAGCAUCAUUUUGGUGCAAAGGAUGGAUAAAGUUGUCACGGUUGCCAACCUACCAAUGGACUAAGAUCACAACUAAGAGAUUCUCAGAAAUUGAAUAAACAGAGUACAAACGAAGUUAUAUCGGCUCCUCUGCCCGAGCCCUUUAUAAGGAGCACCAGAGUAAAAGAUAAAUACCACUGCGAUUUUAAUUCUCUGUUUUGGAAUAUCACAUACCAUCUGUGCAUUAUGUGUUGUGUCUCCAUACAAUAAUUGUUUGGAUCUAAUAGGCUUAGAAGGCAUAGGGUAUUGUCCAUGGAUGAUCAGGUACUACGCUGCGUCGUCGAAAUUCCUACUACCUUGCAAGGCACGCCCGGAGUUCGAGCCAGAGGAGCAGGAAGGGCCCACGAGCCGGAGCUUUUCACCUGACAUGUGUCGUCGAACGUGACGAUGGCGGUCGAUGAGCCGCUUCAAUCUCCGCCUACCCGCUAGAAUGCCACAUAGUGCGGGAACCCACGGGAGGCAUCGCCGCCCCAUGCUGAAUUCCAUUUGCAGGUAUCCACCUCAAAGUUGAAAACAAACAAGCGAACAACGACAUGAAGUCAGAGGUCGAGAGAGCAAGGCUACAGGCGUGCAUCCUUCGUUCCCCGGUGUCGCUUGCUCGCUUGUGCUAUGCAGAGUCUGGAAUGAUAGUGGUAGGUAAUUCAGUAUUGUACCUCGGGCCGUGCCAUCGAUUCGAUUCAUACGAGGCUCAUUACCAUUCCAAUGAUUGGGUCUUUUAUUAUAGCUGAUUUAGAAAGGAAAAAACCGAUUUGUUCUUUUGUCUACAUGUCCAUGGCGCCCGCGACCAAUACAAUGUCGUGCAACACAUGCAAAACUAGCUAUCUAUCAAUCGGAACGAAUUGGUUAGUCUUCUAAUUAGCAGGUAUAAAGUGAAAAUUCAUAGCAUCCUCCAUCCCAGCGCACUCUGUCCUAGGUUCCUAGUCCCAGUUUGGACAAAUAGAAAGAAUGUAUUCCGUAAAUAAAAAGAGGACAGAAUGUGCAUUCCAACGAUGAGAAAGUUUUGGGCUAAUCAAAGUACACUUCUGUUUUGUUACAAUCUCUCUAAACACAUCAACGGAGGAGAUCACUCCAUACCUUUCAUAAUAAAAGGUAGGAUGAUUUUUCUUAAAAAAAAAUAUGUUGCCCACGCCUAGCGUGUCAAUACGCGGCCUGUGUAUGUACCGCCCGUACACGGCGUAUGUGGUAUACCUAAACCCUAUUUAACGCCCUCAACUUUUUUUUCUUUCUUUUUAAUCUUCAAAAAGUAUGAGCUGCAGGAGAUUCAAAAUCCAACCCUCAAAGUUUACUUCAAGUUCAAGUAAUCAAUUGGGACAGGUUACUUGUUGUGCCCACUUGCUUUCUUUUUCGCUUCUUUCAUGGCAAACAUAACUUCGUGAACUUUCAUGCCAGUUUUUUCGUGCUUUUUUAAGCCGGGAUUUGUUCUGUUUUAUUAUGUGUUUUUUCCUUUUUCCUUCUUAUCUUUUUUCUGUUUUUAAUCAAAUUUGUGAACUUUUUCUUAAAUUUGUGAAUGUUUUCAAUUUCUUGAACUCCUUUUGCAACUUUUUAGAGAUCUUUUUUUGAAAUAUUGUGAAAUUUUCAUAUCUGUGAACAUCUUUUUCGAAAUCGAUGAACUUUUUUCAAAUCCACGAGCGCUUGGGCCAGCCCAACAGGCGCCCGACAGGAGCAACGCAGUCGCCUAGUUGGGCCAAGGUCUAAGCGUUUUGUUUCCUCACUUUUUUGUUAAUUCAUAUUUCUCCUUUUUUGUCUAUAUUAUCCAUUUUGAAAUAUGUUUGAAAAUAUGAGAAUUUGUUUGGAAUAUCAUAAAAUGUUGUCGUUAUCAAAUAUUCUCUACAAUUUAAAAAAUAUUACGGAAUUUCAAAAAAUGACCCUGCUUUCGAUUUUUUUGCUCACAAAAUUAAGAAAUGUUUGCGUUUCAAAAAAUGUUGAUAUUUAAAAAAAAAUAUGUGCUUUGAAAUUUGUGUUCAAAAUUUUCAGCAAUUGUUGAUUAUUUGGUUGAGUAUUUGUUAACAAUUUUAGAAUUAGCGAUCAUGUUUGUAAAAUUUCAUAGAAAAUUUGAUUUUCAGAAAUUGUUGACAAAUUUUAAGAAAUGGUUAGGACUUAAGAAAAUGUUCAUGUUGAAUGAUAAGGAUGAAAUUCGCAAAUAACAGAAGCAUUCAAAUUAGAAAAACCUACAUGCUCGUGGAUGCAGUCCUGUGGCCUGGCACAGACAUAUGAGGCAUGAAUGUCUGGUUUGAGUGACUUCUGAUACCGUUUGCACGCUGCGAUACCUUCGGCCAUUUAGCGACCCUUAUCAUCGAGAAAACUUCAAAAAAAAAUGCAAAACUUGUUAAAAAGCCGAACUACUUGCAUUAAUGCCUUUAUAUGGUCAUAGAAGCCGGUGGAAAACUUUGGGCGAUUUGAUAGAUGUCAAACAACAACGUGUGCUUUUGAACGGACCCUUCUCGCCUACCCAAACACUCUCCGUUGAACAUGGUCUAGUUUUGAACAUCCUUGAAAUGACUCCAACUUUUGCAAGUAGAUAGGCAUAUGCCCAUGAUAGGCAUCUAUACCUAGUUUGAAUGAGUUUCGACACUAUAUGCAAGAUCAGCCUUUUUUCACAUUAUAUUACAAAACCACACAAAAAAUGUGGACAGGAAACUAAAAAAACCCAAAUCUGAAAAUAGAAGAAGAAGAAGAAACGAAAAAACCCAAAAUAGCAACAACCCUUAUCACUCACCUUGCUCCGUGAUGGCCAAGGCCUAAGCAUGGUGACAUAAACCUGUCUUGGUCUAAGAAAUUGGCUAUCAGUAAACUGUGUGCGGGAUAUAUAACAAGUGAUAUAACAAAUGGAUUAUUUUUCGUAAAACAAAAGAUCCUUUUGCUACUGACCCACCCAAGUACAAAUGAAUUUAUGUCACUAUCUACCAUUCAUGUGAUCUAUAAAGGGUGAGGGUUUUCUAAUCAUAAGAUGAAUAGUUAUUUCAUUAUUUUCACUUCCAUGCCUUGGAAUUAUCAAAUCUCAUUCCGUGUAUUAUUUGGUGCAUCUUUGCACACUAGAGAUUUUUGACAGGCAUAGCCACAUAGGUAUUGGAGGCACUGGGAACUACCAACGGAUAGCCAAAAUUACAGCGUGCACUGAAGUACUUCCUUAUUCUACUUGGGCACUUCAAGGCUCUACUAUCCCUGUCUUUCUUUUUUGCGGUUACCAUCCCUCGUCCACUCAUGCCCAGUCAUCCUAUACGCCAUAUUCUCACGUCACUCAAGGGAACCAACAAUCAGAUAUUAUGUGGCUUUACUGGUAUGGAAUAGCGGUUGGCUAAGUUUGUUCAACAUUAGCAACAAUGAUCAAAAGAAGGAUCAGAAAAAAAAUGUGGCAUCCUCGGUUAUCGGUUCAGGAGCGGCAACACUGGCGGCUUUUAGAGUCAUGCAAAGAUGUUGAUUUGGCAAGGCCUUUGGGAAGUCCGAAUCGCAUGUUAGAUAGUGAUUGGCAGAUUAGUAUGGACAAGACAGAGAGAGCGUACAGAAUCGUCUCACAAAAGUCAAACUUAAAUUUAAUUAGACAACAACGUGACCACAAACACAACAUAUUAAUUUUGUGAAAUGGUACAACAAUCAUCGGUAAUUUUAAUCGCUCUCACGGGCAAUCAAGCCAAGCGCUGCUAAGUACCGCGAGCAAGCAUUGGCGCAUGGUCACCCACGUGAGCCUAAGGUGGGCCAGCCCAACUGAUUCCAAUCGCCAACCACUUAAAAAAUAAACCAAUGGCUAUGUGCGAGCCUCCCUUUUGCUCAAAAAGAAAACAAAUGCGUGUGUGCCUCCAAGCGAGUGAGCGCAUUUUUUCCAAAAAUAAUUAAACCUUUCGGACGGUUUUAUUUUCAUGAAAAACUGAAUUCGAUUUUUUCAUAAAUUUUGAAGAAUAUUUGUGAAUUCAAAAAUAUUCAUGCAUAUAAUAUUUUUCUCAACUCAAAACACUGUUCACAAAUUUGAAAAGAUGUUCAGGAAUUUUAAAAAACUCCACAAAUUCAAAAAAUGUUCACAAAUUUGAGAAAUGUUCUGAGGUUCAAAAGUAUCCGUGAUUUUGUAAAAAGUUCACCAAUUGAAAAAUAUUUGUGAAUUUUAAAAAUAUUAACAAAAUUUCAAUAGAAUUUUAACAAAAAAGUCAUAAAUUUUCAAAUGCUCAUGAAUUACUAAAAGGUUCACAUAUUUUAAAAAUAUUCAUGAAUACAAAAAAGUUCGUGAAUUUAAAAAGCGCCCAAAAUUUUGAAAAAAGUUCAUCUUUUUGAAAAAUGUUCACAAAAUAGAAAUUGCUGAUGAAUUUGAAUUUAUUUUUGCAACUAUGAAUUUUUAUUUUUCAAAAAAUGUUCACAAAAUUUUAAAAUUUCAGUGAAUUCAAAAUAUUCAAGAUUUCAAAAAAUGCCCGUGCACUUAAAAAAGUUAUCUACUAAAAUAUCACGAAUUCAAAAAGUGUUCAUAAAUUUGAAAAUUUGUUCAUGAAUUAAUAAAGAGAAAAGAAAACAGAAAACCGUGAGAAAAAAAAGAAAAACCUUUGGGAGCCUUCCCAAAACUGAUGGAAGCUUCUAGAGGUUUCCCAAAACCAUGGUGAACCAGUUGCAGAUUACAUAAACUGAAAGAAGAGCAACCAGUCUUUGGCGGCCAACUGGCACGCCCGCCAUGCACAACAGAUAGAGGAAGACCUACCUGCGAGCGCGCCGGAAGUCGCUGAUAACGACCUGAUGAUGGUUGUGGCCUCUGACGAUGAGCUGGCGCCCCUGAACGUGCCAUUUCAUGCCGACUUCACCAGGCGGGACGAGCAGCCCUAUACCACGUGUAGCCACACUCUAGUGUCCUUUUCUACUUAGUUGGACAGAUCACUUCAGAAAAUCGUAUAAAAAUCAAGCAAGAAAACGGAUGCGCUAACGCGCAACGGCUUUCGCGCUAGUUGCUCAAAAAAUCGUAUAAAAAUCAAGCAAGAAAACGGAUGCGCUAACGCGCAACGGCUUUCGCGCUAGUUGCUCAAUCCGUUGCUUGCUUCUCUUCUGUCUUGGAAAAGUGAGGAUUUCCUAUCUGAUCCAAGGGAAGGAAGAGAGGUGGAAAGUGUUGCUGUGUCAAAUCGAGAUUGUGUGGGUGCCCGCUCAUGUUCGACGCUAUCGAAAAUCAUGCAUUGGAUGGACGCCCGGGCAUUGAGAAGGAAGGACGCUUUCAGAGGCGAAAGGCCAUGGGGAGAGAUUUUUCUGUGAUCCAUGGAUCUCCGAUCGGGAAACCGUAUCCAAGACCAUGGAACAAGCGCAUGCGCACUUCGACGAUGUCAUGGCAGAGGAGCAGCCGGCGCAGUGGCCGGUGUUGGCAUUCCGGUAGGCGAAGGGGAGCAACGCUAGAACCUCGACCUCCUCAUGCAUCACCGGCAAGCGGAUGGAUAGAUCUACGGCGAGUUCGCAGCAUAGUUUAAAUGACCUUACCGGACCGGCGGUCAGACCAGGAAAAACCGGAACCAGCAAUCCCAACGGUUUUUUAAGCGUAGCGGACCGUCCCGCAAUGGCGCAAUCGAACUGAAAAAAACUGGUCGAACCGGCCGGUUUAAAAAAAACCGAUAACUCGACAGUUCAAAGACAACUGGCGGUUCGAUGUAGAUUCCAGAAAAGACCCUCGAUCGACUCGUUUUUGUGCGUACGAGCUGAGGGUAGAAUCGGUAAAGAAAAAAACUAUUUUGGUAGGUUUUCGGUCUAUUGGGAGCUUUCUCUCUCGAUAUAUUGUUGUUUGGUGUAUUUAUUAGUAGUAUAUAUUAUUUUAUCUACUAAUUGGUGUAUUUAUUGAUAAAAUAUAUAUUAUUUUAUUCUUAAAAACCAACAACCGAAUCGGCGGCCCGACCAGUAAAAACCUGAACCGACAUGUUGCUACUUCAAUUACUGGUCUAGUUUUUCAAAUUAUGGUUCGCGGGUGAGGAGGCCACCUUAUUUCUCAUUUUACUUCUCUAUUUUGGAAAUCACAUUGGAUGCAAUAUGUGUUGUUUCUCUGUGCAAUAGCGACUCAAAAUAUAUUAGGCAUAGACGUCAUUAGAAAUUGUCCAUGGAUAUCAGGUACUACGCUACCUUGUGGAAAUUCCUACUGCCUUGCAAGGCACAUCCGGAGUUCAAGCCAGAGGAGCCGGAAGGGCCCAGGAGCCAUAGAAUUUCGUCCGACAUGUGUUAUCAAACGUGAUGACGGCGGUCGACCAGCUGCUUCAAUCUCCGCCUAUCCGCGGGAAUGCCACACAAUACGGGAACCCGCCCCAUGCUGGAUUCCGUUUGCAUGUACCUGCCUCGCGGUUGAAAACAAACAAGUGAACAACGGCAUCAAGAAAGAAGUUGAGAGAGCAAGGCUAGACGCAUGCAUCCUUCGUCUCUCUUUGCCGAUUUGUCGGUGCAGCUUCCUUACUGGCUUUUGCUAUGGCGAGUAGGGGACAAUCGAUAUUGUACCUGGGAUCGUGCCAUUGAUUCGAUUAAGACCAGACUCAUUAGCGUUCCAAAUUACAAAUGAUUUGAAACUUUUACAGUUUUACUAUAGCUGGUUUACAAAGAAAAUAAACAAUUUGUUAUUUAGUCGAACACAAACUAGCCAAUAUCACCAUGUAUAUUGUCCAUGACGACCACACAAUGCCGUGCAACACAUGCAGCUAGUUGGUUGCCAAUCGUCUCGCCCUGGUUAGUGUGCUAAUUAGCACUUAUAAAGUCUUGCAUACCACUUCUUCGGUCAGGCGUGCAGCCGUCACUGAUUCCAGUUGGGCCAACGUCUUUUCGGAUGGGUGCCUAGCUUAUGCUAGGUCUAGAACUUGAUCAGACUUGCCCACGGACUACGUGUCGCCACUAUCUUUUCUAGGUUGUGGCAUGCAUGUGGCAGCAAGAUCUAUCGCCACCACGCGCCCACUAGCCACUUACCGCGGGUGAAUGUGGCAAAAAUAUUUGAAAGCUCACUUGGAUUAGCGGGUUCUACCCUGUUUGUGCCACCAGUGAAAGUCGGUGCCACGUUGAACCCAUCCCAACAAGUUCCAUCAUCUUUGGAUCCAGUAAAAAGGCCAAGGAGUCCGACCAGCUAGCAGUAGUGAUUACGCUUGGUGGUAUUCCGGACCAGGCCUCCUUUGUGGUGUGCGACUAAAGAAGAGUACACAAUAACUGGAUGCAGAUACUAAUUCGGCAACCUGUGCUUACCAUCACGCCACGAUGCGCAACAUUGAUAGCUCGCAUGUUAUCUUCAAGGCUGCCACUUGGACCCAUAAGGAUGAGUGGGCAUCUCUUUGGGUUCAAUCAAUGGGAGAUUUGGGUGGCAACCCAAUAGUAGGAUUUUUUUGACAGUAAACCCAACAAUAGGAUAUGUUAUACAUGAGGGUUCAUUUAUUUCCUACACGUAUUUAGUCCUUGCCUUAUGGACUGCCAUGUGUGCCUUUUGUUUUGAUUACACUUGUAUCAGAUCUUAUAAACAUUGCAAUAAUUAAUGGAUGGUUGUGUGCAUCAGUCGAUGUAGAGCCCGAGUGUUUUCCUCUCUUCUAAACAUAGUUCUUGCAAAUAGGCAAUCCAAACAAAAUUAAGGACCAAAACAGGUCAAAUCCCACCAAAUCAAGACGUCAAAACAGAACCCCCCUUCCCCUGCCCCCAAGAAAAAAACAGAAUCAAAUUGGCAUGAUUUUCAUUAAAUUUUAUGGCUUGUCUUGCUUAAUAUUGUUAUAUAAAUCUAUAAUCCUGAUGUAACUUGUACAUAUAUGGGUCGGACAUACCUCAACAGUAAAUGAUUGAAACACCCCUGGGAGCCACGAGACUCUGUGAAUCUGACUUCUAUUAUUCUAUAUGACUUUUGCCUGCUCUGGAAUACAUUUUCAAGCACCAUAUGCUUGAUUUGUCCCCAAUUUGUUCAGUUGUGAUUCAUGUAAAAGAAUCUACUAACAUGGAGAAUGUUCAUCUAGUGGUGCCUACAUGUCUAAAGGUAGCUUAAGUAAAGCAACUACUCGUUCCCUGAUUUAUGAUACCAUCUUCAAUUCUUAUAGAUAAGGUGGAUCGUCAUGUGUAAUAUGUUUGCUACUUCUACCAACUGCACCAUAUCCCUUUGCGCUGAAACAUGACACUACUACAACGGGGAUCCUCACAAAAUCUGCAAAGUUACCAAAAAAAAAAUCUCUGAUCAUUCCCCAAGCAUAUCAAUUGGUUAUCUAACCAAUAACACUUUUUAGGUAUUUGAGUUGUACGAUAACUGACGAAUCAAGAUUAUAGCCUGUUGGUCUCGAUUUACAUGAAGCGGAGAGACUGCAGUACAUGAUUCCUCUGAACAUGUGAUUUGGGGCCUUCCUGGCCCACAACAUAGAGUUCUUUGUUAAAGACAACAUUGUUUUUGUCAAGACUCCAGAAGGCACCUUGACAAGCAAAAUUCUUUCAUCGGAGUGACCUCCAUUCUGGCAUUUCAUGUCGAGGAUAAUAAAUUGCCCUCACGUGACAUCAUGAAGACUUUGGCUUCUAAGGCGUGGGGCUUCAUCAUUCACACACGGCCGGCCUCCUCCAUCAGGAAUGGGAGUGUCAACUCCCCAUUCUCAAAGUCGGAGACCCUGGUCUCAACUGGCCAGAAGUCAGCCGCCAAAGAACCCCCCCCCCACAAGGUUCUAUCGUGAAAAGCUCAUUUUAAAGCAAAGAUGUGGGAACUAAUCUCAUUCGGGUGCUCGAGGAGUAACUCUCCAUCCUAUAAACAAGGGAUGGAGCACUUCCGCUACCGUCCAUUAGCGAUGGCUUGGAAGUAGGCGGUAUUAACGUCCCCUUUUAGGAGAAAUUCUAACCCCCUCUACAUUGCUAGAAGAGCUCCUCACCCUUGAAGAUAUCCAUAAGGGAGGCUUCCAGGUUAUAGGGCAACAUCUAAUCGUUAGCAGAGAGACCAGAACUAUUGGCAAUCACAAACAGAGACUUAAUCUGGUCCAUUAGGGCCCCCUUACGGGCCCAGAGCUCGGCACCCGGGUUGGCCCUCCAUCCUCGCAUGAAUUGCCAAACCGAUUUUGCACAAUGGUGCCAAAUAUAAACUGCACAAAACGUCCGCGGUGGGGAUGCCUCAGCCACGACCCACCUAAGAUGUGCAUCGUCUAUAAAACCCAGCUGAAGUAGGCAUGAGGGUUCGAAGUGAAGUUGUGACGUCCUAAGAAGGGAGCCCUUCCCCGAAGUGAAAAGUAGGGGAGAGUGGUCUGAGCCAAUCCGAGUGACCGCCUUGAGCUAACACAAUGGGAACAUGACCUCCCACUGGAUGGACACGAGGACCCGAUCCCAGUGGGAGGUCAUGUUCAUCGUAUACACCAAAAAGUUCAGUGUGUAUUUAAAAAAAAUGUUCACCAUAUAUUGGAAAAAGUUCAUCGUAUGUUACAUAAACUACACAAAAAUGUGGAAAGAGAAACGAAGAAAAACCAAAAUCUGAAAAGAGAAAGGAAACAAAAAAAACAUGAAAAAGCAAUGACCCCUAUCACUCACCUUUCUCCGUGAUGGCCAAGGCCUAAGCACGGCGACACAACCCUGUCUUAGCCACAGUGAAUGUGUGCGGGAUACAUAACAAAUGUAUUAUUUUUCCUAAAACAAAUGAUCCUUUGCUACUGACCCACCCAAGUACAAAUGAAUUUAUGUCGCUAUCUACUAUUCACGUGAUCUAUAAAGAGAGAGGGUUUUCUAAUCAGAAGAUGAAUAUCUGAUUUCAUUAUUUUCACUUCCAUGUCUUGGAGUUAUCCAAUCUCAUCCAGUGUAUUAUUUGCUGCAUCUUUGCACAGUAGAUAUUUUAGAUAGGCAUAGGCAUUGGAGGCAUUGGGAACUACUGACUGAUAUCCGGUAUUACAGCAGGCACCUCCGUUCUUCUCCAUUCUACUCGAUUACUUCAAGGCAGUACUAUCCCUCGCCGCCUCACGCCCAGUCAUCCUAUACGCUAUCCUCUCACGUCACUCAAGGGAACCAGCAAUCACAUUUUGGGUGUCUUCCCUUAGUAAGCCUGAAACGUUUGUCAGAUAGUGAUUGACAGAUUGGUAAGGACAAACAAAGAGAGCAUAUGGAGUCGUCUCACAAAAGUAAAACUAAAAUUUAAUUAGACAACCCCAUGACCACAAACACUACAAAUUGUACUUUUGUAAAAUGGUACAACAGUCAUCAGUAAUUUUAAUCGCUCUCAUGUGCAAUCAAGCUAACCGUUGCUAUGUACCGCGCGCGAGUAUUAGCACAUGGCCGCCCAUGUGAGUUUCAGGUGGGCCAGCCCAACUACUUCCGAUAUUUUUUUCAAGAAUUUUUGCGAAUUUAAAAAUAUUCAAGAUUUCAGAAAAUGUUCAUGCACUUAAAAUUGUUCUCUAUUAAAAAUAUCAAGAAGCCAAAAAGUUUUCAUAAAUUUGAAAAAUUGUUCAUGAAUUUAGAAAAGAUAAAAGAAAACAGAAAACAGUGAGAAAAAAGAAGAGGAAAAACCUAGUGGAACCUUUCCAAAGCCGACAGAAGGUUCUAGAGGUUUCCCAAAACCAUGGUGAACCAGUUGCAGAUUACAUAAACAGAAAAAGAACAACCAGUCUGGCGGCCAAUAGGCAUACCCGCCGUGCGCAACAGAUAGAGGCAGGCCUGCCGACGAGCUCGCUGAAGGUCUCUGAUAACGACCCGACGAUGGUUGUGGCCUCCGACGACGAGCUGGUGCCCCUGCCCGUGCCAUUCCAUGACAACUUGAGCAUGGAACUGGCGCAAGCGUACUUUGACGAUGUCAUGGCGGAGGAGUAGCCGGCGCCGCAGUCGGUGUGGGUAUUCCGGUUGGUGAAGGUGGAGCAACGCUACAACCUCGACCUCCUCACGCAUCAUCGGCAGGCAGAUGGCUAGCUCUACGGCGAGUUCGCGGGUGUGGUGGCCGUGGUGGCCAUGGCCAUGGAGAACUCCAAUUUCGUCAUCAAGCAGCAGGCGCUCUACGAGGCUUGUGCAACGCUCGCGCGCCUCGGAUGCCCAGGCAGCCGCUGGCGCGAAAGCCACCAGCUCCACGUCCUUUUGGUCGAAGAUGCGCGCCAUUGGCACCGUUACGACGAUGAGGCUGGCCCAUCCACGUCCAUCGUCGACCUCACCUCCACCAAUGACCGCCAGGGAGCGGACUCCGACAGGAAGGGUAGGGCAUCAGCCACGGCGAUGCCUUGUGUCUCAUGUCGACUAGUCCAUGUCGCAUGUCCCACUCUUCGUCGCCGGUGACCACACCUUCACUUCCUGUGGCUCACGGCCGCCGGACAUCGACACGGAGGGGAACAACAAGGACGUGGAGGCCGAAUGUUUUUUGGGGCUCACGGCCACCGACGAGGAUUUUAACUAGGUUAACUUCCGGAUGCUUUUGCUCGGUUGAAAUAUAUUGAAAUGUAAUGAGUUUGGUCCGGUUUAAAUAAAAAUCAUCUGGUUUGUUAAAAUCGGGUUUAAAAUGUAUACAAGCAUGGUUGGAUGGCCAGCUCCCAUAUCAUUGACCGCGGAUGUGCCCGUGGAAAAAUAUAGUGUCCGUUUUAGCGGUCCGCGUUGGAGAUGCUCUUAAUACGGGAGAUGAUAUCCAUGUUGUUAUGGUGGGCAUUGUUUGAUCAUGUGUCUUGUGAAUAAAAAUUUCAUUGGAGAUAGGUGCUUCAAUCAUGUUCAAUUGCCCACGCUUAACUUUAAAAAAAGGACGAACGACGUAAAUGCAAAUCUAAACUUCACAUGAUACCAAAAUGGUUUUCUUUCGUAAACUUUGUUACAAGGACUAUUGUACUGGCCUAGAGCAUCAUUUUGGUGCAAAUGAUGGAUAAAGUUGUAACAGUUGCUGACCUACCAGAGGACUAAGAUCACAGUUAAGAAAUUCUCAGAAAUUGAAUAAACAGAGUACAAACGAAUUCAUAUCGGCUCCUACGGCCCCAGCCCUUUAUAAGGAGCAUCCGGGUACAAGAUAAACACCACCUUAUUUGUCAUUUCAAUUCUCUGUUUUGGAAUAUCACAUACAAUAAUUGUUUGGAUCUAAUAGGCUUAGAGCAUCUCUAGCCGUUGGCCCCCCAGGAGGCAUAAAAAUCGCCGCCUAAGGGCGAGCCGGCGGUAGAAUCGUCGCUGGGGCGGUUGGGCAUCCAGCCGUCGCCCCCAGGUCACCCCCAGGCGCCAAUAUCGGCCCAUUCGCGGCCGCUUUUCGGCCCAGAUAAAUAGAAAAAUGGCCCGAUAUCGGCGAGAAACGGCCCAUAUUCGGCGUGGUUCGGUGUGGUUCAGCGUUGAAUUCUCAACAUAAAUAAUUGUUUUAUCACAUAGUUCAUCACAGAAAAUCAAAUAAUUUAACAAAAUAGUGCAACAACAAAUAGUUCAAUACAAGUUAUAUAGUUCAACAAAUAAAAACUCAUCACACGUCGAGCUAGGCGUCGCCCUUGAUCCUCCAUAGGUGCUCCACCAGAUCCUGCUGCAGUUGAUGAUGCACUUGUGGGUCUCGGAUCUCCUGACGUAUACUGAGGUAGGCAGUCCAGGUUGCCGGUAGCUGGUGAUCAACUUCGGCUAGAGGACCCUGCCUGUAGUAUGGUUCAGUGUCAAACACUGGCUCUUCCUGCUCGCUCUCGAUGAUCAUGUUGUGCAAGAUGGCACAGCAAGUCAUGAUCUCCCACAUUUGAUCUUUCGACCAGGUCUGAGAGGGGUACCGGACAAGAGCAAAUCGAGAUUGGAGCACACCAAAUGCCCGCUCGACAUCCUUCCUGCAAGCCUCCUGCACCUUGGCAAAGUGGGACUUCUUGUUGGGGAUCGUAGCAGAAAUUAAAAAAUUUCUACGCAUCACCAAGAUCAAUCUAUGGAGUCAUCUAGCAACGAGAGAGAGGAGUGCAUCUACAUACCCUUGCAGAUCGCGAGCGGAAGCGUUCAAGUGAACGGGAUUGAUGGAGUCGUACUCGUCGUGAUCCAAAUCACCGGUGACCGAGCGCCGAAUGGACGGCACCUCCGCGUUCAACACAUGUACGGCUGGGAAGACAUCUCCUCCUUCUUGAUCCAGCAAGGGGGAAUGAGAGGUUGAUGGAGAUCCAGCAGCACGACGGCGUGGUGGUGGAAGUAGCGGGGAUCUCGGCAGGGCUUCGCCAAGCUCAGCGAGAGGGAGAGGGAGGCGCCAGGGGCUUGGGUGCGGCUGCCCUCCCCCCAUCUUUAUAUAGGGCCCCUGGGGGGGCGACGGCCAAAUGGGUGGCUUGCCCCCCAAGCCAAGUGGGGCGCCCCCACCCCUAGGGUUUCCAACCCUAGGCGCAGGGGAAGGCCCAAGGGGGGCGCACCAGCCCACCAGGGGCUGGUUCCCCUCCCACUUCAGCUCAUGGGGCCCUCCGGGAUAGGUGGCCCCACCCGGUGGACCCCCGGGACCCUUCCGGUGGUCCCGGUACAAUACCGGUGACCCCCGAAACUUUCCCGGUGGCCGAAACUGGACUUCCUAUAUACAAUUCUUCACCUCUGGACCAUUCCGGAACUCCUCGUGACGUCCGGGAUCUCAUCCGGGACUCCGAACAACUUUCGGAUUUCCGCAUACUAAUAUCUCUACAACCCUAGCGUCACCGAACCUUAAGUGUGUAGACUCUACGGGUUCGGGAGACAUGCAGACAUGACUGAGACGACUCUCCGGUCAAUAACCAACAGCGGGAUCUGGAUACCCAUGUUGGCUCCCACAUGUUCCACGAUGAUCUCAUCGGAUGAACCACGAUGUCGAGGAUUCAAUCAAUCCCGUAUACAAUUCCCUUUGUCAAUCGGUACGUUACUUGCCCGAGAUUCGAUCGUCGGUAUCCCAAUACCUUGUUCAAUCUCGUUACCGGCAAGUCACUUUACUCGUACCGUAAUGCAUGAUCCCGUGACCAAACACUUGGUCACAUUGAGCUCAUUAUGAUGAUGCAUUACCGAGUGGGCCCAGAGAUACCUCUCCGUCAUACGGAGUGACAAAUCCCAGUCUCGAUUCGUGCCAACCCAACAGACACUUUCGGAGAUACCCGUAGUGCACCUUUAUAGCCACCCAGUUACGUUGUGAUGUUUGGCACACCCAAAGCACUCCUAUGGUAUCCGGGAGUUGCACAAUCUCAUGGUCUAAGGAAAUGAUACUUGACAUUUGGAAAAGCUCUAGCAAACGAACUACACGAUCUUGUGCUAUGCUUAGGAUUGGGUCUUGUCCAUCACAUCAUUCUCCUAAUGAUGUGAUCCCGUUAUCAAUGACAUCCAAUGUCCAUAGUCAGGAAACCAUGACUAUCUGUUGAUCAACGAGCUAGUCAACUAGAGGCUUACUAGGGACACGUUGUGGUCUAUGUAUUCACACAUGUAUUACGAUUUCCGGAUAACACAAUUAUAGCAUGAACAAUAGACAAUUAUCAUGAACAAGGAAAUAUAAUAAUAACCAUUUUAUUAUUGCCUCUAGGGCAUAUUUCCAACAGUCUCCCACUUGCACUAGAGUCAAUAAUCUAGUUACAUUGUGAUGAAUCGAACACCCAUAGAGUGCUUGUGUUGAUCGUGUUUUGCUCUAGGGAGGGGUUUAGUCAACGGAUCUGCUACAUUCAGGUCCGUAUGUACUUUACAAAUAUCUAUGUCUCCAUUUUCAACAUUUUCACAAAUGGAGUUGAAGUGAUGCUUGAUAUGCCUGGUCUUCCUGCGAAACCUGGGCUCCUUGGCAAGGGCAAUAGCUCCAGUGUUGUCACAGAAGAGAGUCAUCGGUCCCGACGCGUUGGGAAUCACCCCUAGGUCGGUAAUGAACUCCUUUAUCCAGAUUGCUUCCUGUGCUGCCUCUGAGGCCGCCAUGUACUCCGCUUCACAUGUAGAUCCCGCCAUGACGCUUUGCUUGCAACCGCACCAGCUUACUGCCCCUCCAUUCAAAAUAUACACGUAUCCGGUUUGUGACUUUGAGUCAUCCAGAUCUGUGUCGAAGCUAGCGUCGACGUAACCCUUUACGACGAGCUCUUUGUCACCUCCAUAAACGAGAAACAUAUCCUUAGUCCUCUUCAGGUACUUCAGGAUAUUCUUGACCGCUGUCCAGUGUUCCAUGCCGGGAUUACUUUGGUACCUUCCUACCAAACUUACGGCAAGGUUUACAUCAGGUCUGGUACACAGCAUGGCAUACAUAAUAGACCCUAUGGCCGAGGCAUAGGGGAUGACACUCAUCUUUUCUCUAUCUUCUGCCGUGGUCGGGCAUUGAGCCGUGCUCAAUUGCACACCUUGCAAUACAGGCAAGAACCCCUUCUUGGACUGAUCCAUAUUGAACUUCUUCAAUAUCUUGUCAAGGUACGUACUCUGUGAAAGACCAAUGAGGCGUAUUGAUCUAUCUCUAUAGAUCUUGAUGCCUAAUAUAUAAGCAGCUUCUCCAAGGUCCUUCAUUGAAAAACACUUAUUCAAAUAGGCCUUUAUACUUUCCAAGAAUUCUAUAUCAUUUCCCAUCAAUAGUAUGUCAUCCACAUAUAAUAAGAGAAAUGCUACAGAGCUCCCACUCACUUUCUUGUAAACACAGGCUUCUCCAUAAGUCUGUGUAAACCCAAACGCUUUGAUCAUCUCAUCAAAACGAAUGUUCCAACUCCGAGAUGCUUGCACCAGCCCAUAGAUGGAGCGCUGGAGCUUGCAUACCUUGUUAGCAUUCUUACGAUCGACAAAACCUUCCGGCUGCAUCAUAUACAAUUCUUCCUUAAGAAAGCCGUUAAGGAAUGCCGUUUUGACGUCCAUUUGCCAUAUCUCAUAAUCAUAGAAUGCGGCAAUUGCUAACAUGAUUCGGACGGACUUCAGCUUCGCUACGGGUGAGAAAGUCUCAUCGUAGUCAACCCCUUGAACUUGUCGAUAACCCUUAGUGACAAGUCGAGUCUUAUAGAUGGUCACAUUACCAUCCGCGUCUGUCUUCUUCUUAAAGAUCCAUUUAUUUUCUAUGGCUCGCCGAUCAUCGGGCAAGUCAGUCAAAGUCCAUACUUCGUUUUCAUACAUGGAUCCUAUCUCGGAUUUCAUGGCUUCUAGCCAUUUGUCAGAAUCUGGGCCCGCCAUUGCUUCUUCAUAGUUCGAAGGUUCAUCGUUGUCUGACAACAUGAUUUCCAAGACAGGGUUGCCGUACCACUCUGGCGCGGAACGUGUCCUUGUGGACCUACGAAGUUCAGUAGGAGCUUGAUACGAAGUACCUUGAUCAUCAUUAUCAUUAACUUCCUCUCUAGUCGGUGCAUGCACCACAGGAACAUUUUCCUGAGCUGCGCUACUUUCCGCUUCAAGAGGCAGUACUUCAUCAAGCUCUACCUUCCUCCCACCUACUUCUUUCGAGAGAAACUCUUUCUCCAGAAAGGAUCCGUUCUUAGCAACAAAGAUCUUGCCUUCGGAUCUGAGGUAGAAGGUAUACCCAAUGGUUUCCUUAGGGUAUCCUAUGAAGACGCAUUUCUCCGACUUGGGUUCGAGCUUUUCAGGUUGAAGUUUCUUGACAUAAGCAUCGCAUCCCCAAACUUUUAGAAACGACAGCUUAGGUUUCUUCCCAAACCAUAAUUCAUACGGUGUCGUCUCAACGGAUUUCGACGGAGCCCUAUUUAAAGUGAAUGCGCCAGUCUCUAAAGCAUAGCCCCAAAAUGAGAGCGGUAGAUCGGUAAGAGACAUCAUAGAUCGCACCAUAUCCAAUAGAGUGCGAUUACGAUGUUCGGACACACCAUUUCGCUGAGGUGUUCCAGGCGGCGUGAGUUGUGAAACAAUUCCACAUUUCCUUAAGUGUGUGCCAAAUUCGUGACUCAAAUAUUCCCCUCCACGAUCUGAUCGAAAGAACUUUAUUUUUCUGUCACGUUGAUUCUCAACCUCACUCUGAAAUUCCUUGAACUUUUCAAAGGUCUCAGACCUGUGUUUCAUUAGGUAGACAUACCCAUAUCUACUCAAGUCAUCAGUGAGAGUGAGAACAUAACGAUAGCCACCUGGAGCCUCAACACUCAUUGGACCGCACACAUCAGUAUGUAUGAUUUCCAAUAAGUUGGUUGCUCGCUCCAUUGUUCCGAAGAACGGAGUCUUGGUCAUCUUACCCAUGAGGCAUGGUUCGCACGUGUCAAAUGAUUCGUAAUCAAGAGACUCCAAAAGUCCAUCUGCAUGGAGCUUCUUCAUGCGUUUGGCAUCAAUGUGUCCAAGACGGCAGUGCCACAAGUAUGUGGGACUAUCAUUAUCAACCUUACAUCUUUUGGUAUUCACACUAUGAAUAUGUGUAACACUACGUUCGAGAUUCAUUAAGAAUAAACCAUUAACCAGCGGGGCAUGGCCAUAAAACAUAUCUCUCAUAUAAAUAGAACAAUCAUUAUUCUCGGAUUUAAAUGAGUAGCCAUCUCAAAUUAAACGAGAUCCUGAUACAAUGUUCAUGCUCAAAGCUGGCACUAAAUAACAAUUAUUGAGGUUUAAAACUAAUCCCGUAGGUAAAUGUAGAGGUAGCGUGCCGACGGCGAUCACAUCGACCUUGGAACCAUUCCCGUCGCGCAUCGUCACCUCGUCCUUUGCCAGUCUCCGUUUAUUCCGCAGCUCAUGCUUUGAGUUACAAAUAUGAGCAACCGCACCGGUAUCAAAUACCCAGGAGCUACUACGAGUGUUGGUAAGGUACACAUCAAUAACAUGUAUAUCACAUAUACCUUUGGUGUUGCCGGCCUUCUUGUCCGCCAAGUACUUGGGGCAGUUCCGCUUCCAGUGACCACUUCCCUUGCAAUAAAAGCACUCAGUCUCAGGCUUGGGUCCAUUCUUUGGCUUCUUCCCGGCAACUGGCUUACCGGGCGCGACAACUCCCUUGCCAUCCUUCUUGAAGUUCUUCUUACCCUUGCCUUUCUUGAACUUAGUGGUUUUAUUCACCAUCAACACUUGAUGUUCCUUUUUGAUCUCCACCUCCGCUGAUUUCAGCAUUGAAUAUACCUCAGGAAUGGUCUUUUCCAUCCCCUGCAUAUUGAAGUUCAUCACAAAGCUCUUGUAGCUCGGUGGAAGCGACUGAAGGAUUCUGUCAAUGACUGCGUCAUCCGGGAGAUUAACUCCCAGCUGAGUUAAGCAGUUGUGUAACCCAGACAUUCUGAGUAUGUGCUCACUGACAGAACUAUUUUCCUCCAUCUUACAACUGAAGAACUUGUCGGAGAGUUCAUAUCUCUCGACCCGGGCAUGAGCUUGGAAAACCAUUUUCAGCUCUUCGAACAUCUCAUAUGCUCCGUGUUGCUCAAAACGCUUUUGGAGCCCCGAUUCUAAGCUGUAAAGCAUGCCGCACUGAACGAGGGAGUAAUCAUUAGCACGCUGCUGCCAAGCGUUCAUAACGUCUUGGUUCUCUGGGAUGGGUGCGUCACCUAGCGGUGCUUCUAGGACAUAAUCUUUCUUGGCAGCUAUGAGGAUGAUCCUCAGGUUCCGGACCCAGUCCGUAUAGUUGCUGCCAUCAUCUUUCAGCUUGGUUUUCUCUAGGAACGUGUUGAAGUUGAGGGCAACAUUAGCGUGGGCCAUUUGAUCUACAAGACAUAUUGUAAAGAUUUUAGACUAAUUUCAUGAUAAUUAAGUUCAUCUAAUCAAAUUAUUCAAUGAACUCCCACUCAGAUAGACAUCCCUCUAGUCAUCUAAGUGAAACAUGAUCCGAGUCAACUAGGCCGUGUCCGAUCAUCACGUGAGACGGACUAGUCAACAUCGGUGAACAUCUUCAUGUUGAUCGUAUCUUCUGUACGACUCAUGCUCGACCUUUCGGUCUUCCGUGUUCCGAGGCCAUGUCUGUACAUGCUAGGCUCGUCAAGUCAACCUAAGUGUAUUGCGUGUGUAAAUCUGGCUUACACCCGUUGUAUUCGAACGUUAGAAUCUAUCACACCCGAUCAUCACGUGGUGCUUCGAAACAACGAACCUUCGCAACGGUGCAUAGUUAGGGGGAACACUUUCUUGAAAUUAUUGCGAGGGAUCAUCUUAUUUAAGCUACCGUCGUUCUAAGCAAAUAAGAUGUAAAACAUGAUAAACAUCACAUGCAAUCAAAUAGUGACAUGAUAUGGCCAAUAUCAUUUUGCUCCUUUUGAUCUCCAUCUUCGGGGCGCCAUGAUCAUCUUCGUCACCGGCAUGACACCAUGAUCUCCAUCAUCAUGAUCUCCAUUAUCGUGUCUUCAUGAAGUUGUCACGCCAAUGAUUACUUCUACUUCUAUGGCUAACGUGUUUAGCAAUAAAGUAAAGUAAUUUGCAUGGCGUUAUUCAAUGACACGGAGGUCAUACAAAAAUAAAGACAACUCCUAUGGCUCCUGCCAGUUGUCAUACUCAUCGACAUGGAAGUCGUGAUUCCUAUUACAAGAACAUGAUCAAUCUCAUACAUCACAUAUAUUUCAUUCAUCACAUCCUUUUGGCCAUAUCACAUGACAAGGCAUAUGCUGCAAAAACAAGUUAGACGUCCUCUAAUUGUUGUUGCAUGUUUUUACGUGGCUUCUAUAGGUUUCUAGCAAGAACGUUUCUUACCUACGUAAAACCACAACGUGAUAUGCCAAUUUCUAUUUACCCUUCAUAAGGACCCUUUUCAUCGAAUCCGAUCCGACUAAAGUGGGAGAGACAGACACCCGCUAGCCACCUUAUGCAACUAGUGCAUGUCAGUCGGUGGAACCUGUCUCACGUAAGCGUACGUGUAAGGUCGGUCCGGGCCGCUUCAUCCCACGAUGCCGCCGAAACAAGAUAAGACUAGUAGUGGCAAGAAAAUUGACAACAUCUACGCCCACAACAAGUUUGUGUUCUACUCGUGCAUAGAAACUACGCAUAGACCUAGCUCAUGAUGCCACUGUUGGGGAUCGUAGCAGAAAUUAAAAAAUUUCUACGCAUCACCAAGAUCAAUCUAUGGAGUCAUCUAGCAACAAGAGAGAGGAGUGCAUCUACAUGCCCUUGUAUAUCGCGAGCGGAAGCGUUCAAGUGAACGGGGUUGAUGGAGUCGUACUCGUCGUGAUCGAAAUCACCGAUGACCGAGCGCCGAACAGACGGCACCUCCGCGUUCAACACACGUACGGUUGGGAAGACGUCUCCUCCUUCUUGAUCCAGCAAGGGGGAAGGAGUGGUUGAUGGAGAUCCAGCAGCACGACGGCGUGGUGGUGGAAGUAGCGGGGAUCUCGGCAGGGCUUCGGCAAGCUCAGCGAGAGGGAGAGGUGUCACGGGAGGGAGAGGGAGGCGCCAGGGGCUUGGGUGCGGCUGCCCUCCCUCCCCCCUCUUUAUAUAGGGCCCCUCGGGGGGCGCCGGCCCUAGGAGAUCCCAUAUCCAAGGGGGGGGCGGCCAAGGGGGUGGCUUGCCCCCAAGCCAAGUGGGGCGCCCCCACCCCUAGGGUUUCCAACCCUAGGCGCAGGGGAAGGCCCAAGGGGGGCGCACCAGCCCACCAGGGGCUGGUUCCCCUCCCACUUCAGCCCAUGGGGCCCUCCGGGAUAGGUGGCCCCACCCGGUGGACCCCCGGGACCCUUCCGGUGGUCCCGGUACAAUACCGGUGACCCCCGAAACUUUCCCGGUGGCCGAAACUGGACUUCCUAUAUACAAUUCUUCACCUUCGGACCAUUAUGGAACUCCUCGUGACAUCCGGGAUCUCAUCCGGGAGUCCGAACAACUUUCAGAUUUCCGCAUACUAAUAUCUCUACAACCCUAGCAUCACCGAACCUUAAGUGUGUAGACCCUACGGGUUCGGGAGACAUGCAGACAUGACCGAGACGACUCUCCGGUCAAUAACCAACAGCGGGAUCUGGAUACCCAUGUUGGCUCCCACAUGUUCCACGAUGAUCUCAUCGGAUGAACCAUGAUGUCGAGGAUUCAAUCAAUCCCGUAUACAAUUCCCUUUGUCAAUCGGUACGUUACUUGCCCGAGAUUCGAUCGUCGGUAUCCCAAUACCUUGUUCAAUCUCGUUACCGGCAAGUCACAUUACUCGUACUGUAAUGCAUGAUCCCGUGACCAAACACUUGGUCACAUUGAGCUCAUUAUGAUGAUGCAUUACCGAGUGGGCCCAGAGAUACCUCUCAGUCAUACGGAGUGACAAAUCCCAGUCUUGAUUCGUGCCAACCCAACAGACACUUUCGGAGAUACCCGUAGUGCACCUUUAUAGCCACCCAGUUACGUUGUGACAUUUGGCACACCCAAAGCACUCCUAUGGUAUCCGGGAGUUGCACAAUCUCAUGGUCUAAGGAAAUGAUACUUGACAUUUGGAAAAGCUCUAGCAAACGAACUACAAGAUCUUGUGCUAUGCUUAGGAUUGGGUCUUGUCCAUCACAUCAUUCUCCUAAUGAUGUGAUCCCGUUAUCAAUGACAUCCAAUGUCCAUAGUCAGGAAACCAUGACUAUCUGUUGAUCAACGAGCUAGUCAACUAGAGGCUCACUAGGGACAUGUUGUGGUCUAUGUAUUCACACAUGUAUUACGAUUUCCGGAUAACACAAUUAUAGCAUGAACAAUAGAAAAUUAUCAUGAACAAGGAAAUAUAAUAAUAACCAUUUUAUUAUUGCCUCUAGGGCAUAUUUCCAACACUUCUUGCCUCCUGGCACAUCGUUUGAGAUAGUCUUCACAAAUGUAGACCAUCUCGGAUAGAUGCCAUCAACUAGGUAGUACCCCUUGUUGUAGUGCCGCCCAUUGACCUCGAAGUUCACCGCAGGAGAAUGACCUUCAACAAGCUUGGCAAAGACAGGGGAGCACUACAGCACGUUGAUGUCAUUGUGAGUUCCUGGCAUACCAAAGAAGGAAUGCCAAAUCCAGAGGUCCUGUGUUGCCACUGCCUCAAGUACCACACUACAACAGCCUUUGGCGCCUUUGUACAUCCCCUGCCAAGCAAAUGGGCAGUUCUUCCAUUUCCAAUGCAUGCAGUCGAUGCUUCUAAGCAUCCCAGGAAAUCCUCUUGCUGCAUUCUGUGCUAGAAUCCGAGCAGUGUCUUCCGCAUUGGGUGUUCGCAAGUAUUGCGGUCCAAACACUGCAACCACUGCCCAACAGAAUUUGUAGAAACACUCAAUGGUGGUGGACUUGGCCAUGCGCCCAUAGUCGUCGAGUGAAUCAUUGGGAGCUCCGUAUGCAAGCAUCCUCAUCGCUGUCGUGCACUUCUGGAUUGAGGUGAAUCCAAGUUUGCCGGCGCAAUCCUUCUUGCACUUGAAGUAGCUGUCGAACUCUAAUGGAAUUCACAAUCCUGAGGAAAAGCUUUCGGCUCAUCCGAUAACGGCGCCGAAAUGUUUUGUCACCGUGCAGUGGAGCGUCGGCGAAGUAGUCGGAGUAGAGCAUGUAGUAGCCUUCGAGACGAUGCCGGUUCUUUGCUUUCAUCCGCCCCGACGCCGAGCCACCUCGCCACGGCUUUUCAUUGCUCGCCAGCAGGACGACGAGGGUGGCGAGGACCAUGAGAUGUUCCUCUUCCUGGACGUCGGCCUCGGCUUCCUCCUCCAGCAGCGUGGCGAGCGCUUCCUCGUCGUCCGAGUCCAUUGCCGAGGCAGGCAAAUCGCCGAACACCUUGCGGGCGCGGUGGGCGCGUACCCGCCGCUACACAGCCCCUCCGCGGCCGGAAACCCGGAAAAAUUUCCCAGCCAGUGGUGGAGAGGUUGCCUCGGCGAAACCUCUGCUCUUUUUCCGGCGGGGAUGGGCUAUCUAGCGGUGGUGGGCGGUGGGCGGCACCGGGAUCAGCCGGUUGGCGGCCGAGCGCGCGGGGGGUGGGAGGCAAAUCUGGAAGAAAGACUUGACUUUUUGCCUGACGGUGUGGGCCAGACGUGCUUUUCCCUUGCGCCGGAGCCCCCGAGCGCCCCCAGUGCGCUGGGUUCGGCCUGCGAUCGCCGGGCCCAAAAACGAGCCGAGCCGGCGGAUUUCGGUGUCCCGGGGGCGCGACUGGGGCGUUUUUUUGGCGCCGGCGCUGAAAAAGCCGCCUGGGGGCCUGUUGGGGACGCGGCUGGAGAUGCUCUUAGAAGGCAUAGGGAAUUGUCCAUGGAUAAUUAGGUACUAUAUUGCGUCGUCGAAAUUCCUACUGCCUUGCAAGGCACGUCCGGAGUUUGAGCCAGAGGAGCAGGAAGGGCCUAGGAGCCGGAGCUUUUCGCCCAGCAUGAUUCGCCGAACGUGACGAUGGCGGCUGAUUAGCUACUUCGAUCGCGACCUAUAGGCUGGGAUUGCAAGUUGCUACCUCUUGAGCAUGUGUUGGUUUUCCCUUGAAGAGGAAAGGGUGAUGCAGCAAAGUAGCGUAAGUAUUUCCAUCAGUUUUUAAGAACCAAGGUAUCAAUCCAGUAGGAGAUUACACGAAAGUCACCCAGUACCUGCACAAACAAUCAAGAACCUUGCAACCAACGCGAUAAAGGGGUUGUCAAUCCCUUCACGGUCACUCGCAAAAGUGAGAUCUAAUAAAGAUAGUAAAGUAAAUAUUUUUGAUAUUUUAGUUGUAUAGAUUGGAAUAAAGAUUGCAAAAUAAAAUAAAUAGGAAACUAGAAUCAUAGAUCGGAAACUUAUAUCAUGUAAAAUAGACCCGGGGGCCAUAGGUUUCACUAGUGGCUUCUCUCAUGAUAGCAUGUAUUACGGUGGGUGAACAAAUUACUGCCGAGCAAUUGAUAGAAAAGCGCAUAGUUAUGAGAAUAUCUAGGCAAUGAUCAUGAAUAUAGGCAUCAUGUCUGUGUCAAGUAGACCAAAACGAUUCUACAUCUACUACUAUUACUCCACACAUCAACCGCUAUCCAGCAUGCAUCUAGAGUAUUAAGUUCAUAAGAACAGAGUAACGCAUUAAGCAAGAUGACAUGAUGUAGAGGGAUAAACUCAAGCAAUAUGAUAUAAACCCCAUCUUUUUAUCCUCGAUGGCAACAAUACAAUACGUGCCUUGCUGCCCCUACUGUCACUGGGAAAGGACACCGCAAGAUUGAACCCAAAGCUAAGCACUUCUCCCAUUGCAAGAAAGAUCAAUCUAGUAGGCCAAACUAAACCGAUAAUUCGAAGAGACUUGCAAAGAUAUCAAAUCAUGCAUAUAAGAAUUCAGAAAAGAGCCAUAUAUUAUUCAUAGGUAACCUUGAUCAUAAAUCCACAAUUCAUCGGAUCUCGGCAAACACACCGCAAAAAGUAUUACAUCGAAUAGAUCUCCAAGAACAUCGAGGAGAACUUUGUAUUGAGAAUCAAAGAGAGAGAAGAAGCCAUCUAGCUAAUAACUAUGGACCCGAAGGUCUGUGGUAAACUACUCACGCUUCAUCGGAGAGGCUAUGAUGUUGAUGUAGAAGCCCUCCGUGAUCGAUUCCCCCUCCGGUAGAUCGCCGGAAAAGUCCCCAAGAUGGGAUCUCACGGGUACAGAAGGUUGCAGCGGUGGAAAAGUGGUUUCGUGGCUCCCCCCUCAUGUUUUUAGGGUAUAAGAGUAUAUAUAGGCGAAAGAAGUAUAUCGGUGGAGCUCCAUGGGGCCCACGAGGGUGGGGGGCGCCCUCCUGCCUUGUGGCCGCCUCGCGGAGUUCCAGACUUCAACUCCAAGUCUUCUGGACUGCGUUUGUUCCAAGAAAGAACCUCGCGAAGGUUUCAUUCCAUUUGGAUGCCGUUUGGUAUUCCUUUUCUGCAAAACAGUGAAAUAGGCAAAAAAUAGAAACUGACACUGGGCCUUCGGUUAAUAGGUUAGUCCCAAAAAUAAUAUAAAAGAGCAUAUUAAAGCCCAUUAAACAUCCAAAACAGAUAAUAUAAUAGCAUGGAACGAUAAAAAAUUAUGGAUACGUUGGAGACGUAUCAAGCAUCCCAAGCUUAAUUCCUUCUCGUCCUCUGAUAAAAACAGAAUUUUUGAUGUGGAAUGCUACCUAACAUGAUUUUCAAUGUAAUUCUGUUUAUUGUGGCAUGAAUGUUUAGAUCCAUAAGAUUCAAAAUAAAAGUUUAAUAUUGACAUAAAAAACAAUAAUACUUCAAGCAUACUAAUAAAGCAAUCAUGUCUUCUCAAAAUAACAUGGCCAAAGAAAGUUAUCCCUACAAAAUCAUAUAGUCUGGCUAUGCUCUAUCUUCAUCACACAAAGUAUUUAAUCAUGCACAACCCCGAUGACAAGCCAAGCAAUUAUUUCAUACUUUUGGUGUUCUCAAACUUUUUCAAUCUUCACGCAAUACAAGAGCGUGAGCCAUGAACAUAGCACUAUAGGUGGAACUAGCACAUAUGCCCGUGCGUUGCAACGGGAGAGAUGUUUCUUUGGAGAAGCAAUGGGAGAGAUAGUUGAUGUGUCCACCAAAAAUGAUCUCCAUAGCGGUGCAGUAGAGAGAGGAGUUGUGGUCUUCUCGCGGGUCAUGUUUGUCCCGCGAGAUCUUGAUAGUUGUAGGGUUAGUCAGUGUGGCGGCAACCAUCCAACUCGUGCCUUUUUUUCCUUGGGGUCCACCUCUGCCUAGGGGUUGUGUCUGCCUCCUCAUUUGGUAGCUAUGCGAUGACCUUUGGGGCACAGUUGCUUCGACCAUUCUCUCUUACGAUGACAUAAUUGGAUGGAUUACUAAUUGUAGCGCAUAAAUCCCGUUUCAUUAGCAUAUUUAGUGCAUAACCAGACACCAAUGUCCCUUCUAUAUUAGGGUUUAUUCUCUUUGAUUAUUUUAGCGCUCACGUGCCCACAAUUUUUUUAUUCGAGCCAAACCAGCAUAUUCUCUCUUAUUGGCCCAAGGAAAAAAUUGCUCCCUUGAACGACCUAGUAGGGGAGUGCAGCUGAGGCAUAAUACAGCCUAUGCGACAAAGCAAUUUUUUCUUGUGCCAACUGCGUGGGGGCUACUAUAUGGCUAGUUGCGUAAAAUAGCGCAUGGGACGCACACUGGUAGGCGCCAAGACGACCUGUGUUAGUAAGGCAUAGAAAAAUAAAAAAAUUGAUGAGUUGAGGGAUCAAAAUCAUGCCCUCAAAGACCUGACUACGUGCUGCUAGCCACUCAAAGAAACGAGUCAUACCAACCAAUGGCCAGCUCAAACCUUUAAGAUCAUACUCCAAGGUCAGAUUGGAAAAAGAAGUUGAACUGUAUAUAAAUUGUUGAACAUUCCUGGAAACAUGAAUAAUUUUGAAAAUCCCAACAUUUUUUGAAAUUCUUUACAUUUUCAGAAAUUCACAACAAAAUAUGAAACACUCAAAAUUCACAAUUUUAUUUGAAAACAUAAACCUUUUAUAAUAACAUGAACAUGUUUUGAAUUUGUGAUUCUUUUUAAAUGAAACAUAUUUUGAACAUUCAGAACAAUUUUUUAAAAUAUGUUUCUUGACAUUAUUUUGAAUUUGCGAACAUUUCACUAAAACAAGAAUAUAUUUCGUAUUUGGAACAUUUUUUAAAUACAUAUUUUUGGAAAAUCUGGAACAACUUUGGAAAACACAAAGAAAAAUGGAACCUUAUUUUAAAAAUCUAAACCAAUUUUUGAAUGAGAACCAAGAUUUAAUGUUCUUAACAUUUUUCAAAAUGGUUUAUAUUUUAAAAUCCCGAUCAUUUUUUAAAAAAUGAAAUUUUUUGAUAUUAUGAACUUUUAAGAAAAUUUUGAAUUUACGAAAAAAGGGAGCAAGAAAAAUAAACUUGAAAAAAAAGACAAAAUAAUAGGAAAGAAAAAUAGACAUAAAUGGAAAAAGAAAAAUAGAAACAUAACACAGAACAAAAAAAACAAAACGGUUCAGCCCAGCUCGGACGCUCUGCGCGAAUUUGCGACUAUUUUGGAAUGCGAACAAAUAUUUAAUGUUCUGAACAUUUUUCAAAAUGGAGUAAAUUUUAUAAUUCUAUUUUUUUUUAAAGUCGAACUUUUAUGAUAUUAUGAACUUUUUUGAAAAUUUUAAAUUUAUGAAAAAGGGAAAAAAAAUCUUGAAACGAAAAAAGAUUAAAGAAGAAGAGAAAGAAAUGAAAAAAAUAGAAACAUAACACAAAACAAAAAAAUGGAAUAAACUUUAUAAUUCUGAACAUGUUUUUGAAAAUUCAGAUUUUUAUGAUAUUGUGAACUUUUUCUAAAAUUUGAAUUUACGAAAAAAUGGAAAAAAACUUGAAAGCAAAAAGGACCAUAGAAGAAGAGAAAGAAAAAGAGAAACAUAACACACACAAAAAAUGGGCCAGCCCAGCUUGGCCCUCCUGUGCGAAUUUUCCACUAUCUAAGGCUCUAGGCGAUAAAUAGGGUUUUCGCACCUAGAUGGAUACGAAAAUAACUGGGCCGGCUUUCCUAUGCUACACUUCGAGCGGCCCAUGUACGUAAUCUGGCAUUUUCCUUUUCUAACAGACGAACGGACAAAACUUUAGUACCACCUCGAAUAGAAAAAUAAUCUUUUUGAUGGUGAACGGAUGAAAAAAAGGAGAAACGCACCUUGCUUUAUUAGUAGGUAUAGAUAGAAUGGUGGUUGUGGAGAAGACAAAACGGAGAAUAUAGUCUCACAUCAACUAGGCGUAUCAACGGGCUAUGUAGAUGCCCAUCAAUAGAUAUCAAUGUGAGUGAGUAGGGAUUGCCAUGUAACGGAUGCACUAGAGCUAUAAGCGUAUGAAAGCUCAACAAAAGAAACUAAGUGGGUGUGCAUCCAACUUGCUUGCUCAUGAAGACCUAGGGCAAUUUGAGGAAGUCCAUCAUUAGAAUAUACAAGCCAAGUUCUAUAAUGAAAAAUUUCCCACUAGUAUAUGAAGGUGACAACAUAGGAGACUCUCUAUCAUGAAGAUCAUAGUGCUACUUUGAAGCACAAGUGUAGUAAAAGAAUAGUAGGAUUGCCCCUUCUCUCUUUUUCUCUCAUUUUUUUUUAUUUGGUCCUUUCUCUUUUUUUUAUGGCCUCUUUUUUUUCGUCCGGAGUCUCAUCCCGACUUGUGGGGGAAUCAUAGUCUCCAUCAUCCUUUCCUCACUGGGACAAUGCUCUAAUAAAGAUCAUCACACUUUUAUUUACUUACAACUCAAGAAUUAGAACAAAAUAUGACUCUAUGUGAAUGCCUCCGGCGGUGUACCGGGAUGUGCAAUGAUUCAAGAGAGACAUGUAUGAAUUAUGAACGGUGGCUUUGCCACAAAUACGAUGUCAACUACAUGAUCAUGCAAAGCAAUAUGACAAUGAUGGAGUGUGUCAUAAUAAACGGAACGAUGGAAAGUUGCAUGGCAAUAUAUCUCGGAAUGGCUAUUAAAAUGCCAUAAUAGAUAGGUAUGGUGGCUGUUUUGAGGAAGGUAUAUGGUGGUUGUAUGAUACUGGCGAAAGUUGCGUGGUAUUAGAGAGGUUAGCAAUGGUGGAAGGGUGAGAGUGUGUAUAAUCCAUGGACUCAACAUUAGUCAUAAAGAACUCACAUACUUAUUGCAAAAAUAUAUUAGUUAUCGAAACGAAGUACUACGCGCAUGCUCCUAGGGGGAUAGAUUGGUAGGAAAAGACCACCGCUCGUCCCCGACCACCACUCAUAAGGAAGACAAUCAAUAAAUAAAUUAUGCUCCGACUUCAUCACAUAACGGUUCACCAUACGUGCAUGCUACGGGAAUCACAAACUUUAACACAAGUAUCUCUCAAAUUCAUAAUUACUCAACUAGCAUGACUCUAAUAUCACCAUCUUCAUAUCUCAAAACAAUCAUAAGGAAUCAAACUUCUCAUAGCAUUCAAUGCACUUUAUAUGAAAGUUUUUAUUAUACCCGUCUUGGAUGCCCAUCAUAUUAGGACUAAUUUUAUAGCCAAAGCAAAUUACCAUGAUGUUCUAAAAGAAUCUCAAAAUAAUAUAAGUGAAGCAUGAGAGGUCAAUAAUUUCUAUAAAAUAAAAUCACCACCGCGUUCUAAAAAGAUAUAAGUGAAGCACUAGAGCAAAAUUAUCUAGCUCAAAAGAUAUAAGUGAAGCACAUAGAGUAUUCUAAUAAAUUCCGAUUCAUGCGUGUCUCUCCCAAAAGGUGUGUACAGCAAGUAUGAUUGUGGUAAAAUAAAAAUCAAAGACUCAAAUCAUAAAAAAAGCUCCAAGCAAAACACAUAUCAUGUGGUGAAUAAAAAUAUAGCCUCAAGUAAAGUUACCGAUAGACGAAGACGAAAGAGGGGAUGCCUUCCAGGGCAUCCCCAAGCUUAGGAUUUUGGUUGUCCUUGAAUUUUACCUUGGGGUUCCUUGGGCAUCCCCAAGAUUAGGCUCUUGCCACUCCUUAUUCCAAAAUCCAUCUAAUCUUUACUCAAAACUUGAAAACUUCACAACACAAAACUUAAACAGAAAAUCUCAUGAGCUCCGUUAGUAUAAGAAAAUAGAUCACCACUUUAAGGUACUGUAAUAAACUCAUUAUUUAUUUAUAUUGGUGUUAAACCUACUGUAUUCCAACUUCUCUAUGGUUCAUACCCCCGAUACUACUCAUAGAUUCAUCAAAAUAAGCAAACAACACAUGAAAAACAGAAUCUGUCAAAACAGAAUAGUCUGUAGCAAUCUGUAUCAAACGAAUACUUCUGAAACUCCAAAAAUUCUUAAAUAAAUUGGUGGACGUGAGUAAUUUGUCUAUUAAUUAUCUGCAAAAAGAAUAAAUCUAAAAGCACUCUCCAGUAAAAAAUGACGUCUAAUCUCGUGAGCGCAAAAGUUUCUGUUUUUUACAGCAAGAUUGCAAAGACUUCACCCAUGUCUUCCCAAAGGUUCUACUUGGCACAAACACUAAUUAAAACAUAAAACCAUAUCUAAACAGAGGCUAGACGAAUUAUUUAUUACUAAACAGGAGCAAAAAGCAAAGAACAAAAAUAAAAUUGGGUUGCCUCGCAACAAGCGCUAUUGUUUAACGCCCUUUUUAGCUAGGCAUUGAUAAUUUUAAUGAUGCUCACAUGAAAGACAAGAAUUGAACUGCAAAGAGAGCAUCAUAAAACACGUGACAAACACAUAUAAGUCUAACAUACUUCCUAUGCAUAGGCAUUUUGUAAGCAAACAAAAUUUCAAGGCAAGAAAAACUAGCAUAUGCAAGGAAGAAGAAAGAGACGAUAGCAAUCUCAACAUGACGAGAGGCAAUUUAGUAAGGCAAAAAUUUCUACAACCAUAUUUUCCUCUCUCAUGAUAAUUACAUGUAGGAUCAUAGGCAAAUUCAAAAAAAUGCUAUCACAUAACAUAUUUUCAACACGAUCCACAUGCAUGCAAAGUUGACACUCUUCCAAAAUAGUGGGAUUAUCAUUAACUAAAGUCAUGGCCUCUCCAAACCCACUUGUAUCAAAAAUACCAUAAGAUUGAACAUUCUCCAAAUAUGUGGGAUCUAAAGUUGACACUCUUCCGAACCCACUUUCAAUAUUAUUGCAAACACUAUUAUCAAUCUCAUAUUCAUCAUGGGGCUUAAAUAAAUUUUCAAGAUCAUAAGAAGAAUCACCCCAAUCAUCAUCAUUGCAACAAGUAGUAGACAUAGCAAAACUAGCAUCCCCAAGCUUAGGGUUUUGCAUAUUAUUAGCACAAUUGAAAUCAAGAGAAUUUAUAGGAAAAUCAUUGCAAUCAUGCUUUUUAUUCAAGGAGCUAUCGUGAAUCUCUUCAUAAAUUUCUUCAUCACAAUUUUCAGAUUCACGAAUUUCAAGCAAAACCUCAUAAAGAUAAUCUAGUGCACUCAAAUCACUAGAAAUUGGUUCAUCAUAAUUGGAUCUAUUAAAAGGAUUAGCAAGGGGAUGAGGAUCCAUAAACUUUUAGUAAGCGAAGAUGCAUGCAAAAAGAAGGCACAUGGUAACACAAGAUCGAACGGAAGGAGGGCGAAGAAAAGGCAAAGGUUUUCGAAAAUCGUUUUAGAAGUGGGAGAGAGGAAAACGAGAGGCGAAUGGCAAAUAAUGUAAUGCGAGGGAGAAGAGUUUAUGACGGGUACUUGGUAUGUCUUGACUUGAGCAUAGAUCUCCCCGGCAACAGCACCGGAAAUCCUUCUUGCUACCUCUUGAGCAUGCGUUGGUUUUCCUUUGAAGAGGAAAGGGUGAUGCAGCAAAGUAGCGUAAGUAUUUCCCUCAGUUUUUGAGAACCAAGGUAUCAAUCCAGUAGGAGAUUACACGCACGUCACCUAGUACCUGCACAAACAAUCAAGAACCUUGCAACCAACGCGAUAAAGGGGUUGUCAAUCCCUUCACGGACACUCGCAAAAGUAAGAUCUAAUAAAGAUAGUAAAGUAAAUUUUUUGGUAUUUUUGUUGUAUAGAUUGGAAAGUAAAGAUUGCAAAAUAAAAUAAAUAGGAAACUAGAAUUAUAGAUCGGAAACUUAUAUGAUGUAAAAUAGACCCCGGGGCCAUAGGUUUCACGAGUGUCUUCUCUCAUGAUAGCAUUUAUUACGGCGGGUGAACAAAUUACUGCCGAGCAAUUGAUAGAAAAGCGCAUAGUUAUGAGAAUAUCUAGGCAAUGAUCAUGAAUAUAGGCAUCACGUCCAUGUCAAGUAGACCGAAACGAUUCUGCAUCUACUACUAUUACUCCACACAUCGACCGCUAUCCAGCAUGCAUCUAGAGUAUUAAGUUCAUAAGAACAGAGUAACACAUUAAGCAAGAUGACAUGAUGUAGAGGGAUAAACUCAAGCAAUAUGAUAUAAACCCCAUCUUUUUAUCCUCGAUGGCAAUAAUACAAUACGUGCCUUGCUACCCCUAUUGUCACUGGGAAAUGACACCGCAAGAUUGAACCCAAAGCUAAGCACUUCUCCCAUUGCAAGAAAGAUCAAUCUAGUAGGCCAAACUAAACCAAUAAUUCGAAUAGACUUGCAAAGAUAUCAAAUCAUGCAUAUAAAAAUUUAGAGAAGAACCAAAUAUUAUUCAUAGAUAAUCUUGAUCAUAUAUCCACAAUUCAUCGGAUCUCGGCAAACACACCGCAAAUUAUUUUACAUCAAAUAGAUCUCCAAGAACAUCGAGGAGAACUUUGUAUUGAGAAUCAAAGAGAGAGAAGAAGCCAUCUAGCUAAUAACUAUGGACCCGAAGUGUUGGAGAUCGUUGCAGAAUUUUAAAAUUUUCUACGCAUCACCAAGAUCCAUCUAUGGAGUAUACUAGCAACGAGGGGAAAGGAGUGCAUCUACAUACCCUUGUAGAUCGCGAGCGGAAGCGUUCAAGUGAACGGGGUUGAUGGAGUCGUACUCGCCGUGAUCCAAAUCACCGAUGACCGAGUGCCGAACGGACGGCACCUCCGCGUUCAACACACGUACGGAGCAGCGACGUUUCCUCCUUCUUGAUCCAGCAAGGGGGAAGGAGAGGUUGAUGGAGAUCCAGUAGCACGACGGCGUGGUGGUGGAAGUAGCGGGGAUCCCGGCAGGGCUUCGCCAAGCGCAAGCGGGAGGGAGAGGUGUUGCACGGGGANNNNNNNNNNNNNNNNNNNNNNNNNNNNNNNNNNNNNNNNNNNNNNNNNNNNNNNNNNNNNNNNNNNNNNNNNNNNNNNNNNNNNNNNNNNNNNNNNNNNNNNNNNNNNNNNNNNNNNNNNNNNNNNNNNNNNNNNNNNNNNNNNNNNNNNNNNNNNNNNNNNNNNNNNNNNNNNNNNNNNNNNNNNNNNNNNNNNNNNNNNNNNNNNNNNNNNNNNNNNNNNNGGGGGGGGGGCGGCCAAGGGGGUGGCUUGCCCCCCAAGGCAAGUGGGGCGCCCCCACCCUUAGGGUUUCCAACCCUAGGCGCAGGGGGAGGCCCAAGGGGGGCGCCCCAGACCACUAAGGGCUGGUUCCCUUCCCACUUCAGCCCAUGGGGUCCUCCGGGAUAGGUGGCCCCACCCGGUGGACCCUCGGGACCCUUUCGGUGGUCCCGGUACAAUACCGCUAACCCCCGAAACUUUCCCGGUGGCCGAAAUUAGACUUCCUAUAUAUAAUUCUUCACCUCCGGACCAUUCCGGAACUCCUCGUGACGUCCGGGAUCUCAUCCGGGACUCCGAACAACUUUCAAGUUUCCGCAUACUAAUAUCUCUACAACCCUAGCGUCACCGAACCUUAAGUGUGUGGACCCUACAGGUUCGGGAGACAUGCAGACAUGACCGAGACGCCUCUCCGGUCAAUAACCAACAGCGGGAUCUGGAUACCCAUGUUGGCUCCCACAUGUUCCACGAUGAUCUCAUCGGAUGAACCACGGUGUCGAGGAUUCAAUCAAUCCCGUAUACAAUUCCCUUUGUCAAUCGGUAUGUUACUUGCCCGAGAUUCGAUCGUCGGUAUCCCAAUACCUUGUUCAAUCUCGUUACCGACAAGUCUCUUUACUCGUACCGUAAUGCAUGAUCCCGUGGCUAACUCCUUAGUCACAUCGAGCUCAUUAUGAUGAUGCAUUACCGAGUGGGCCCAGAGAUACCUCUCCGUCAUACGGAGUGAUAAAUCCUAGUCUCGAUCCGUGCCAACUCAACAGACACUUUCGGAGAUACCCGUAGUGAACCUUUAUAGUCACCCAGUUACGUUGUGACGUUUGGCACACCCAAAGCACUCCUACGGUAUCCGGGAGUUGCACGAUCUCAUGGUCUAAGGAAAUGAUACUUGACAUUGGAAAAGCUCUAGCAAACGAACUACACGAUCUUUUAUGCUAUGCUUAGGAUUGGGUCUUGUCCAUCACAUCAUUCUCCUAAUGAUGUGAUCCCGUUAUCAAUGACAUCCAAUGUCCAUAGUCAGGAAACCAUGACUAUCUGUCGAUCAACGAGCUAGUCAACUAGAGGCUUACUAGGGACACGUUGUGGUCUAUGUAUUCACACAUGUAUUACGAUUUCCGGAUAACACAAUUAUAGCAUGAACAAUAGACAAUUAUCAUGAACAAGGAAAUAUAAUAAUAACCAUUUAUUAUUGCCUCUAGGGCAUAUUUCCAACAGUCUCCCACUUGCACUAGAGUCAAUAAUCUAGUUACAUUGUGAUGAAUCAAACACCCAUAGAGUUCUGGUGUUGAUCAUGUUUUGCUCUAGGGAGAGGUUUAGUCAACGGAUCUGCUACAUUCAGGUCCGUAUGUACUUUACAAAUAUCUAUGUAUCCAUUUUGAACACUUUCACGAAUGGAGUUGAAGCGACGCUUGAUAUGCCUAGUCUUCCUGUGAAACCUGGGUUCCUUGGCAAGAGCAAUAGCUCCAGUGUUGUCACAGAAGAGAGUCAUCGGGCCCGACGCAUUGGGAAUCACCCCUAGGUCAGUAAUGAACUCCUUCAUCCAGAUUGCUUCUUGCGCUGCCUCUGAGGCUGCCAUGUACUCCGCUUCACAUGUAGAUCCCGCCACGACGCUUUGCUUGCAACCGUACCAGCUUACUGCCCCUCCAUUCAAAAUAUACACGUAUCCGGUUUGUGACUUCGAGUCAUCCAGAUCUGUGUCGAAGCUAGCGUCGACGUAACCCUUUACGACGAGCUCUUUGUCACCUCCAUAGACGAGAAACAUAUCCUUAGUCCUCUUCAGGUACUUCAGGAUAUUCUUGACCGCUGUCCAGUGUUCCAUGCCGGGAUUACUUUGGUACCUUCCUACCAAACUUACGGCAAGGUUUACAUCAGGUCUGGUACACAGCAUGGCAUACAUAAUAGACCCUAUGGCCGAGGCAUAGGGGAUGACACUCAUCUUUUCUCUAUCUUCUGCCGUGGUCGGGCAUUGAGCCGUGCUCAAUUGCACACCUUGCAAUACAGGAAAGAACCCCUUCUUGGACUGAUCCAUAUUGAACUUCUUCAAUAUCUUGUCAAGGUACGUACUCUGUGAAAGACCAAUGAGGCGUAUUGAUCUAUCUCUAUAGAUCUUGAUGCCUAAUAUAUAAGCAGCUUCUCCAAGGUCCUUCAUUGAAAAACACUUAUUCAAAUAGGCCUUUAUACUUUCCAAGAAUUCUAUAUCAUUUCCCAUCAAUAGUAUGUCAUCCACAUAUAAUAAGAGAAAUGCUACAGAGCUCCCACUCACUUUCUUGUAAACACAGGCUUCUCCAUAAGUCUGUGUAAACCCAAACGCUUUGAUCAUCUCAUCAAAACAAAUGUUCCAACUCCGAGAUGCUUGCACCAGCCCAUAGAUGGAGCGCUGGAGCUUGCAUACCUUGUUAGAAUUCUUAGGAUCGACAAAACCUUCCGGCUGCAUCAUAUACAAUUCUUCCUUAAGAAAGCCGUUAAGGAAUGCCGUUUUGACGUCCAUUUGCCAUAUCUCAUAAUCAUAGAAUGCGGCAAUUGCUAACAUGAUUCGGACGGGCUUCAGCUUCGCUACGGGUGAGAAAGUCUCAUCAUAGUCAACCCCUUGAACUUGUCGAUAACCCUUAGCGACAAGUCGAGCCUUAUAGAUGGUCACGUUACCAUCCGCGUUUGUCUUCUUCUUAAAGAUCCAUUUAUUUUCUAUGGCUCGCCGAUCAACGGGCAAGUCAGUCAAAGUCCAUACUUCGUUUUCAUACAUGGAUCCUAUCUCGGAUUUCAUGGCUUCUAGCCAUUUGUCGGAAUCCGGGCCCGCCAUCGCUUCUUCAUAGUUCGAAGGUUCACCGUUGUCCAACAACAUGAUUUCUAGGACAGGGUUGCCGUACCACUCUGGUGCGGAACGUGUCCUUGUGGACCUACGAAGUUCAGCAGUAACUUGAUCCGAAGCUUCAUGAUCAUCAUCAUUAACUUCCUCCCCAGUCGGUGUAGGCACCACAGGAACAUCUUCCCGCGCUGCGCUACUUUCCGGUUCGGAAGGGGUGACUAUCACCUCAUCAAGUUCCACUUUCCUCCCACUCACUUCUUUCGAGAGAAACUCCUUUUCCAGAAAGGACCCAUUCUUGGCAACAAAGAUCUUGCCUUCGGAUCUGAGGUAGAAGGUAUACCCAAUGGUUUCCUUAGGGUAUCCUAUGAAGACACAUUUUUCCGACUUGGGUUCGAGCUUUUCAAGUUGAAGUUUCUUGACAUAAGCAUCGCAUCCUCAAACUUUUAGAAACGACAGCUUAGGUUUCUUCCCAAACCAUAAUUCAUACGGUGUCGUCUCAACGGAUUUCGACGGAGCCCUAUUUAAAGUGAAUACGGCAGUCUCUAAAGCAUAGCCCCAAAAUGAGAGCGGUAGAUCGGUAAGAGACAUCAUAGAUCGCACCAUAUCCAAUAGAGUACGAUUACGACGUUCGGACACACCGUUUCGCUGAGGUGUUCCAGGCGGCGUGAGUUGUGAAACGAUUCCACAUUUCCUUAAGUGCGUACCAAAUUCAUGACUUAAAUAUUCUCCACCACGAUCUGAUCGUAAGAACUUUAUUUUCCUAUCACGUUGAUUCUCAACCUCACUCUGAAAUUCCUUGAACUUUUCAAAGGUUUCAGACUUGUGUUUCAUUAGGUAGACAUACCCAUAUCUACUUAAGUCAUAAGUGAGAGUGAGAACAUAACGAUAUCCUCCGCGAGCCUCAACACUCAUUGGACCGCACACAUCGGUAUGUAUGAUUUCCAAUAAGUUGGUUGCUCGCUCCAUUGUUCCGGAGAACGGAGUCUUGGUCAUCUUACCCAUGAGGCAUGGUUCACACGUGUCAAAUGAUUCGUAAUCAAGAUACUCCAAAAGUCCAUCUGCAUGGAGCUUCUUCAUGCGUUUGACACCAAUGUGACCAAGGCGGCAGUGCCACAAGUAUGUGGGACUAUCGUUAUCAACUUUACAUCUUUUGGUAUUCACACUAUGAAUAUGUGUAACAUCACAUUCGAGAUUCAUCAAGAAUAAACCAUUGACCAACGGGGCAUGACCAUAAAACAUAUCUCUCAUAUAAAUAGAACAACCAUUAUUCUCGGAUUUAAAUGAGUAGCCAUCUCGAAUUAAACGAGAUCCUGAUACAAUGUUCAUGCUCAAAGCUGGCACUAAAUAACAAUUAUUGAGGUUUAAAACUAAUCCCGUAGGUAAAUGCAGAGGUAGCGUGCCAACGGCGAUCACAUCGACCUUGGAACCAUUCCCGACGCGCAUCGUCAUCUCGUCCUUUGCCAGUCUCCGCUUAUUCCGCAGUUCCUGUUUUGAGUUACAAAUAUGAGCAACCGCACCGGUAUCAAAUACCCAGGAGCUACUAUGAGUACUGGUAAGGUUCACAUCAAUUACAUGUAUAUCACAUAUACCUUUGGUGUUGCCGGCCUUCUUGUCCGCUAAGUAUUUGGGGCAGUUCCGCUUCCAGUGACCACUUCCCUUGCAAUAAAAGCACUCAGUCUCAGGCUUGGGUCCAUUCUUCGACUUCUUCCCGGCAACUGGCUUACCGGGCGCGGCAACUCCCUUGCCGUCCUUCUUGAAGUUCUUCUUACCCUUGCCUUUCUUGAACUUAGUGGUUUUAUUCACCAUCAACACUUGAUGUUCCUUUCUGAUCUCCACCUCCGCUGAUUUCAGCAUUGAAUAUACCUCAGGAAUGGUCUUUUCCAUCCCCUGCAUAUUGAAGUUCAUCACAAAGCUCUUGUAGCUCGGUGGAAGCGACUGAAGGAUUCUGUCAAUGACCGCGUCAUCUGGGAGAUUAACUCCCAGCUGAGACAAGCGGUUGUGUAACCCUGACAUUCUGAGUAUGUGCUCACUAACAUAACUAUUUUCCUCCAUUUUACAGCUGAAGAACUUGUCGGAGACUUCAUAUCUCUCGACCCGGGCAUGAGCUUGGAAAACCAUUUUCAGCUCUUCGAACAUCUCAUAUGCUCCAUGCUUCUCAAAACGCUUUUGGAGCCCCGGUCCUAAGCUGUAAAGCAUGCCGCACUGAACGAGGGAGUAAUCAUCAGCACGUGAUUGCCAAGCGUUCAUAACGUCUUGGUUCUCUGGGAUGGGUGCUUCACCUAGCGGUGCUUCUAAGACAUAAUCUUUCUUGGCAGCUAUGAGGAUGAUCCUCAGGUUCCGGACCCAGUCCGUAUAGUUGCUGCCAUCAUCUUUCAGCUUGGUUUUCUCUAGGAACGCGUUGAAGUUGAGGACAACGUGGGCCAUUUGAUCUACAAGACAUAUUGUAAAGAUUUUAGACUAAGUUCAUGAUAAUUAAGUUCAUCUAAUCAAAUUAUUCAAUGAACUCCCACUCAGAUAGACAUCCCUCUAGUCAUCUAAGUGAAACAUGAUUCGAGUUAACUAGGUCGUGUCCGAUCAUCACGUGAGACGGACUAGUCAAGAUCGGUGAACAUCUCCAUGUUGAUCGUAUCUUCUAUACGACUCAUGCUCGACCUUUCGGUCUUCCGUGUUCCGAGGCCAUGUCUGUACAUGCUAGGGUCGUCAAGUCAACCUAAGUGUAUUGCGUGUGUAAAUCUGGCUUACACCCAUUGUAUUCGAACGUUAGAAUCUAUCACACCCGAUCAUCACGUGGUGCUUCGAAACAACGAACCUUCGCAACGGUGCACAGUUAGGGGGAACACUUUCUUGAAAUUAUUGCGAGGGAUCAUCUUAUUUAAGCUACCGUCGUUCUAAGCAAAUAAGAUGCAAAACAUGAUAAACAUCGCAUGCAAUCAAAUAGUGACAUGCUAUGGCCAUUAUCAUUUUGCUCCUUUGAUCUCCAUCUUCGGGGCACCAUGAUCAUCUUCGUCACCGGCAUGACACCAUGAUCUCCAUCAUCAUGAUCUCCAUCAUUGUGUCUUCAUGAAGUUGUCACGCCAACGAUUACUUCUACUUCUAUGGCUAACGCGUUUAGCAAUAAAGUAAAGUAAUUUACAUGGCGUUAUUCAAUGACACGCAGGUCAUAUAAAAAAUAAAGACAACUCCUAUGGCUCCUGCCGGUUGUCAUACUCAUCGACAUGCAAGUCGUGAUUCCUAUUACAAGAAUAUGAUCAAUCUCAUACAUCACAUAUAUCAUUCAUCACAUCUUCUGGCCAUAUCACAUCACAAGGCACAUGCUGCGAAAACAAGUUAGACGUCCUCUAAUUGUUGUUGCAAGUUUUUUACGUGGCUUCUAUAGGUUUCUGGCAAGAACGUUUCUUACCUACGUAAAACCACAACGUGAUAUGCCAAUUUCUAUUUACCCUUCAUAAGGACCCUUUUCAUCGAAUCCGUUCCGACUAAAGUGGGAGAGACAGACACCCGCUAGCCACCUUAUGCAACUAGUGCAUGUCAGUCGGUGGAACCUGUCUCACGUAAGCGUACGUGUAAGGUCGGUCCGGGCCGCUUCAUCCCACAAUACCGCCGAAACAAGAUAAGACUAGUAGUGGCAAGAAAAAUUGACAACAUCUACGCCCAUAACUGCUUUGUGUCUACUCGUGCAUAGUAACUAUGCAUAGGCCUAGCUCAUGAUGCCACUGUUGGAGAUCGUUGCAGAAUUUUAAAAUUUUCUACGCAUCACCAAGAUCCAUCUAUGGAGUAUACUAGCAACGAGGGGAAAGGAGUGCAUCUACAUACCCUUGUAGAUCGCGAGCGGAAGCGUUCAAGUGAACGGGGUUGAUGGAGUUGUACUCGCCGUGAUCCAAAUCACCGAUGACCGAGUGCCGAAUGGACGGCACCUCCGCGUUCAACACACGUAAAGAGCAGCGACGUCUCCUCCUUCUUGAUCCAGCAAGGGGGAAGGAGAGGUUGAUGGAGAUCCAGCAGCACGACGGCGUGGUGGUGGAAUUAGCGGGGAUCCCGGCAGGGCUUCGCCAAGCGCAAGCGGGAGGGAGAGGUGUUGCAGGGGGAGUAGGAGGCGCCAGGAGCUGUGGUGUUGCUGCCCUCCCCCCACUAUUUAUAGGGGUCCUGGGGGGGGGGGGGGCGCCGGCCACCCUGGAGAUCCCAUCUGAGGGGGGGGCGGCCAAGGGGGUGGCUUGCCCCCCAAGGCAAGUGGGGCGCCCCCCACCCCUAGGGUUUCCAACCCUAGGCGCAGGGGGAGGCCCAAGGGGGGGCGCCCCAGCCCACUAAGGGCUUGUUCCCUUCCCACUUCAGCCCAUGGGGCCCUCCGGGAUAGGUGGCCCCACCCGGUGGACCCCCGGGACCCUUCCGGUGGUCCCGGUACAAUACCGAUAACCCCCGAAACUUUCAAGGUGGCCGAAACUGGACUUCCUAUAUAUAAUUCUUCACCUCCGAACCAUUCCGGAACUCCUCGUGACGUCCGGGAUCUCAUCCGGGACUCCGAACAACUUUCGGGUUUCCGCAUACUAAUAUCUCUACAACCCUAGCGUCAGCGAACCUUAAGUGUGUAGACCCUACGGGUUCGGGAGACAUGCAGACAUGACCGAGACGCCUCUCCGGUCAAUAACCAACAGCGGGAUCUGGAUACCCAUGUUGGCUCCCACAUGUUCCACGAUGAUCUCAUCGGAUGAACCACGGUGUCGAGGAUUCAAUCAAUCCCGUAUACAAUUCCCUUUGUCAAUCGGUAUCUUACUUGCCCGAGAUUCGAUCGUCGGUAUCCCAAUACCUUGUUCAAUCUCGUUACCGGCAAGUCUCUUUACUCGUACCGUAAUGCAUGAUCCCGUGGCUAACUCCUUAGUCACAUUGAGCUCAUUAUGAUGAUGCAUUACCGAGUGGGCCCAGAGAUACCUCUCCGUCAUACGGAGUGACAAAUCCCAGUCUCGAUCCGUGCCAACUCAACAGACACUUUCGGAGAUACCCGUAGUGAACCUUUAUAGUCACCCAGUUACGUUGUGACGUUUGGCACACCCAAAGCACUCCUACGGUAUCCGGGAGUUGCACGAUCUCAUGGUCUAAGGAAAUGAUACUUGACAUUGGAAAAGCUCUAGCAAACGAACUACACGAUCUUUUAUGCUAUGCUUAGGAUUGGGUCUUGUCCAUCACAUCAUUCUCCUAAUGAUGUGAUCCCGUUAUCAAUGACAUCCAAUGUCCAUAGUCAGGAAACCAUGACUAUCUGUCGAUCAACGAGCUAGUCAACUAGAGGCUUACUAGGGACACGUUGUGGUCUAUGUAUUCACACAUGUAUUACGAUUUCCGGAUAACACAAUUAUAGCAUGAACAAUAGACAAUUAUCAUGAACAAGGAAAUAUAAUAAUAACCAUUUAUUAUUGCCUCUAGGGCAUAUUUCCAACACGAAGGUCUGUGGUAAACUACUCACACUUCAUGGGAGAGGCUAUGGUGUUGAUGUAGAAGCCCUCCGUGAUCGAUUCCCCCUCCGGCAGAUCGCUGGAAAAGGCCCCAAGAUGGGAUCUCAUGGGUACGGAAGGUUGCGGCAGUGGAAAAGUUGUUUCGUGGCUCCCCCUGAUGUUUUUAGGGUAUAAGAGUAUAUAUAGGCGAAAGAAGUAUGUCGAUGGAGCUCCAUGGGGCCCACGAGGGUGGGGGCGCGCCCUCCUGCCUCGUGGCCGCCUCGCGGAGUUCCAGACUUCAACUCCAAGUGUUCUGGAUUGCGUUUGUUUCAAGAAAUAUUCUCGCGAAGGUUUCAUUCCGUUUCGAUUCCGUUUGGUAUUCCUUUUCUGCAAAACAGUAAAAUAGGUAAAAAAACAGAAAAUGGCACUGGGCCUUCGGUUAAUAGGUUAGUCAUAAGAAUAAUAUAAAAGAACAUAUUAAAGCCCAUUAAAUAUCCAAAACAAAUAAUAUAAUAGCAUGGAACAAUAAAAAAUUAUAAAUACGUUGAAGAUGUAUCACACGUCGUGCGAGAAACAAUGCGAGUCAUCACCGCCCCACGCUGGAUUCCGUAUGCACGAGCCAGGGUCACCGUAAAAAACAAACAAGCGAACAUCGGCGUCAAGCAAGCAGUCGAGAGAGCAAUGCUGCAUGCGUGCAUCCCCCUGUGUCGCUUCUUGCCCGCUUGUGCUAUGCGGGGUCUGGAAUGAUAGUGGUAGGUAAUUCAGUAUUGUAUCUGGGGCCGUGCCAUCGAUUCAAUUCGUAUGAGGCUCAUUACCAUUCUAAUGAUCGGGGCCUUUUACUAUAGCUGAUUUAGAAAGGAAAAACCGAUUUGUUCUUUAGUCUACCGUGGACUGGCCUAUCGCCAUGCAUUGUCCUUGGCUCCCACGACCAAUACAAUGUCGUGCAACACAUGCCGAACCAGCUGUGUCAAUCGGCACGCCUCGGAUAGUCUUCUAAGUAGCAGUUAUAAAAUGAAAAUUCAUAGCAUCCUUCAUCCCAGUGCACUCUGUCCUAGGUUCCCAAUCCCAGUUUGGACAAAUAGACAUAAUGUAUUCCUAAAAGAAAAGACAGAAUGUGCAUUCCAACGAACAGAAAGUUUAGGGCUAAUCAAAGUACACUUCUGUUAUGUUACAACCUCCCGAAACAGAUCAACGGAGGAGAUCUGUCCAUACCCCUUUAUAAUAAAGGGUAUGAUGGUCAUUUUUAAAAAUACGUCGUCCGUGCCGAGCGCGGCGAUACACGACAUGUGUACUUACCACCCAUACACGACAUAUGUGGCAUACCAAAACCCUAUUUGACGACCUCAACUUUUUUUCUCUUUCUUUUUAAUCUUCAAAAAGUGUGAGCUGCGGGAGAUCGAACUCCAACCCUCAAGGUUUACUUCAAGUUCUAGAAACCAACCAGUUAUUUGUUGUGCCCACUUACUUUUUUUACGCUUCUUUGGUGGCAAAUAUAACUUCAUGAACUUUCCGGCAGGUUUUUCGUGUUUUUUUGUUUUCUUAUGUGUUUUUUCUUGUUUUCUAUUUUUAAUCAAAUUCAUGAACUUUAAAAAAUAUUAUUAAUCUUUUUCAAUAUCUUGAACUCCUUUUGCACCUUUUUAUACAUAUUUUUUUUGAAAAUUUGUGAAAAUUUUCAAAUAUGUGAACAUUGUUUUUCAAAAUCAAUGAACUUUUUUGAAAUCUGCGAACGUUUGGGCAAGCCCAACAGGCGCCCGACGGGAGCAAAGCCGUCGCCUAGUUGGGCCAAGGCCUAACCUGUUCAAAAAUAUCAAAAUUUGUUCGGAAUACCAGAAAAUGUUCUUGUUUUCGAAUAUUCUCUACAAAUUUUAAAAAUGUUAUGGAAUUUUAAAAAAUGACACUGUUUUUGAAUUUUUUGUUCAAAAUUUUAAAGAAAUGUUUGUGUUUCAGAAAAAAAGUUGAUAAUUUUAAAAAAUACUUUCUUUGGAAUUUGUGUUCAAAAUUUUCAUCAAUUGUUGAGAAUUUGUUAACAAUUUUAGAAAAAGUGUUCAAGUUUGUGAAAUCUCAUACACAAUUUAAAAUUCGGAAAUUGUUGACAAAUUUCAAGAAAUCAUUAGGACAUAAGAAAAUGUUUAUGUUGAUUGAUAAUGACAAAAAAUGUAAAUAAUAGCAGCAUUUAAAUUAGGAAAAACUACAUGCUCACGGAUACACCCGUGUGGUCUACCCAUGCACACGCCUCUCAACUAGUGUCUUUUGGACUAUCGAUAAAUAACUCCAACUGCUUGCAGUAGCCUGGCACGGACAUAUGAGGCAUCAAUGCUUGGUUUGAGUGACUUCCGACACCGUUUGCAUGCUACGAUACAUCCGACCAUUUAUUUACCCUUUCAUCGAGAAAAAUACAGAAAAAUGCAAAACUUGUUAGGAAUCAGAACUACUUGCAUUGUUCCUUUAAAUGGUCUUAGAAGCUGGUGGAAAAUUUGAGCGAUUUGACGGAUGUCAAACAACAACGUGUGCUUUCAAAGAGACCCUUCUCGCCUACCCACACACUCCCCGUUGAACCUGGUCUGUUUUUGGACAUCCUUAAAUUGGCUCCAACUUUUGCAAGCAGAUGGGCAUGCCCGUGAUAGGCAUUCAUACCUGAUUUGAAUGACUUUCGACACUGUAUAAAAGAUCGGCCUUUUUAAGGGAGUUGGUGGCAACAAUAUGGGAUGUUCCAUCAUGACAGAACCAGAUCGGUCCAUUGCCUCUGUUUCCUCAACAAGAUCCAGAAUACCCAGCCGGCUCCAUAGCUCUCUUGCAUGCACGCAAUCAAGGAGGAGAUGUCGAACAUCUUCAGCAGCUUGAUGAUAUAUAGGGAUAAUUCCAUGUAAGAUGCGCCAACAAAAGAUAUGAACUAUACGUGGAAUUCCGAGCUUGCACAUAGUACUCCACACAGCCAGAGAGCAUUCACGUGGAAUUUCAUCGGUAAUAUAAACCGCUCUCACGUGCAAUCAAGCCAAGAGCUGCUAUGUACCGCGCGCGAGCAUUAGCGCAUGGUCGCCCACGUGAGCUUUUCAGGUGGGCAGCCCAACUGCUUCCGAUCGACAGCCACGGAAACAAAAUAAAUCAAUCGCUAUGCGUGAGCCUCCUUUUCAAAAAGAAAAUAAAUGUGUGUGCCUCCAAGCGAACGAGCGCAUUUUUUUGACAUUUUUUUAAACUUUCUUGGACGGUUUUAUUUUCAUAAACGAAUGAAUUUGGAAUAUAAAUCCAUGAAUUUAAAGAUAUUCACGAAUUCAAAAAAUAUUCAUGAAGAUGAAAAAAAAAGGUGACUCCAAAAGAUGUUCACAAAUUUUAGAAAGUGUUCGGGAAUUUUAAAAAACUUCACGAAUACAAUUAAUGUUCAGGAAUUGGAGAAAUUUCCCGAAUUUAAAAAAUAUUCAUGAUUGUAAAAAGUUCAUAAAUUAUAAGAAAAUUAUGAAUUAGAAAAAUAUUAAUGACCUUAAAAAAUCAUAAAUUUGAAAAUGGUCGUGAAUUUGAAAAAGGUUCACAUAUUUUAAAAAUAUCCAUGAAGAGAAAAAAUGUUCACGAAUUAGAAAAAUUAUCACAAAUUUUAGAAAAGUUCAUGGAGUUGAAAAAUGUUCACAAAUCCGAAAAUGCUGAUGAAUUUGUAAAAAAUGUUGGCAGCUAUGAAUUUUCAAUGUUUUUGCAAAAAAAUGUUCAUGAUUGUUUUUAAAUGUUCAAGAUUUCAAAAAUGUUCAUGCAAUUUGGAAAAGGUCGUGCUAUUAAAAAUGUUCUCUAUUUAUAAAAUCAUGAAUUCAAAAAAGUGUUCAUAAAUUUAAAAAAUUGUUCAUGAAUUAAGAAAAGAAAGUAGAAAACGUGAGAAGAAAGAAGAAAAGACCUCUUGGAACCUUUCCAAAACCGAUGGAAGGCUCUAGAAGUGGCCGGUAUCGGGCACAGGAGGAGUAGCACUACAACCUUGAGCUCCUCACGCAUCACCGGCAGGCGGAUGGUUAGAUCAACAGAGUGUUCGUGGGUGAGGAGGUCCAUGGCGGCUAUGAGGUCGUGCGCAAUGCUUGCGUGUCGGCCUCGGAUGCCCAGGCGGCUGCGGACGCGAACAUCGACAGCUCCACGUCUUUUUUGCCGGAGCUGCGCGUCAUUGGCGCUGCUACGAUGACGAGCUCAGCCCAUCCACGUCCAUCGUCGACCUCAUCUCCACCGAUGAUAGCCAGGGAGAAGACUCCGACGAGGAAGAUUAGGGCAUCAGAGACGGCUGCGUCUCGAGUCCCAUGUGGGCCAGUCCGUGUCCCUUGUCUCACUCUUCCUCGUCGGCGACCGCACCUUCACUUCCCGGGGCUCACGGCCGCCGUACAUCAAUACGGAGGGGGAACAACAAGGACGUGGAGGCCGGACGCUUUUUGGGGCUCAUGGGUGCCGGACAUCAACAUAGAGGGGAACAACAAGGACAUGGAGGCCGGGCGCUUUCUGGGGCUCACGGCCGUCGGCGAAGAUUUAGACUAGGUUAACUUUCGAACACUUUUGUUUAGUUGAAGUAUAUCGAAAUGUAACGAGUUUGGUCCAUUUAAAUGAAAAUCAUUCAGUUUACAUGAAAAUCACCCAGUUUGUCAAUAUCCGGUUUGAAAUGUAUGCAGUCAUGGUUGGAUGGACGGCUCCCGUAUCACUAUCCGCGGACAAAUAUAGUGUUUAUUCUAGAGGUCCAUGUUGGAGAUACCCUUAGUAUGAGAGAUGAUGUCCAUGUUGUUGUUAUGCUCGACAUUGUUUGAUCAUGUGUCUUGGGAAUAAAUCUUUCGUUGGAGAUAUGAUUCAACCAUGUUCAAUGGCUCACGCUUAACUACAAAAAAAUAUGCAUGAACGACCUAAAUGCAAAUCUAAACCUUCACAUGCUACCAAAAAUACGUUUUCUUUGAUGAACUUUGUUACAAGAACUUUUGUAUUGACCUAGAGCAUCAUUUUGGUUCAAAGGAUGGAUAAAAUUGUCAUAGUUGCCAACCUACCAGAGGACUAAGACCACAACUAGUUCUCAGAAAUUGACUAAACAGAGGACGAAUGAAUUCAUAUCGGAUCCUACCACCCGAGCCCUUUAUACGGAGCACCCAAAUAAAAAAUGAGUACCACCUUAUUUCUCAUUUUACUUCUCUAUUUUGGAAUAUCCAAUGACAUUGGAUGCGUAUGUGUUUUUUCUCUGCAAUAAUGAUUCAAAAUAUAACAGGCCAUAGAAGUCAUCACCAAUUGUCCAUGGAUUGUCAGGUACUACGCUGCCUCGAGGAAAUUCCUACUGCCUUUGGGCCCUUCCGUCUCCUCUGGGCACGUCCGGAGUUCAAGCCAGAGGAGACAGAAGGGCCCAGGAGCCAGAGAUUGUCGUCCGACGUGUGUUGUCAAAUAUGACGGCGGCGAUCGAUCAACUGCUUCGAUCUCCGCCUACCCGCUGGAAUGCCAUACAAUACGGGAACCCGCGGGAAGUAUCGCCGCCCCACGCUGGAUUCCGUUUGCAUGUACCCACCUCGUAGUUGAAAACAAACAAGCGAACAAUGACAUCAAGAAAGAAGUCGAGAGAGCAAGGCUAGACACGUGCAUCCUUUGUCUCUCUUUGCCGAUUUGUCGGUGCGGCUUCCUUACUGGCUUUUGCUAUGGCGAGUAGGGGACGAUUGAUAUUGUACCUGGGGUCAUGCCAUUGAUUCGAUUAAGACCAGACUCAUUAGCAUUCCAAAUUUCAGAUGAUUUUGUACUUUUACAGUUUUACUAUAGCUGGUUUACAAAGGAAAUAAAACAAUUUUUUAUUUAGUCCAACACAAAUUAGCCAAUAUCACCAUGUAUAUUGUCCAUGGUGACCACACAAUGGUGCAACACAUGCAGCUAGUUGGUUGCCAAUCUGCUCGCCCUGGUUAGUCUGCUAAUUAGCAGUUAUAAAGUCUUGCAUACCACUUCUUCUGGGUCGGGCGUGCAACUGUCACUGAUUCCAGUUGGGCUAACGUCUUUUUAGGAUGGGUGACCAGCUUAUGCAGGGUAUAGAACUUCAUCAUACUUGCCCACGGGCUAUGUGUCGCCACUAUCUUUUCUAGAUUGUGGCAUGCAUGUGGCAGCAAGAUCUAUCGCCACCAUGCGCCCACUAGCCACUUACCGCGAGUAAAUCAUAAUAAAAUUGGCAUGAUUUUCAUUAAAUUUUAUGGCUUGUCUUGCUCAAUAUUGUGAUAUAAAUCUAUAAUCCUGAUGUACUUGUACAUAUAUGGACAUACGUCAGAAGUAAAUGAUUGAAACACCCCCCGGGAGCCACGAGACUCCCUGAAUCCAACUUCUAUUAUUCUACAUGACUUUUGCUUGCUCAGGAAUACAUUUUUAGGCACUGUAUGCUUGAUUUGUCCCCAAUUUGUUCAUUUGUGAUUCGUGUAAAAAAAAAAUCUACUAACAUGGAGAAUGUUCAUCUAGUGGUGCCUACAUUUCUGAAGGUAGCUUAAGUUAAGCAACUACUCUUUCCGUGAUUUAUGACAUCAUCUUCAAUUUCUUAUAGAUAAGAUGGAUGGACAUGUGCUAUAUGUUUCCUACUUGUGCCAACUGCACCGUAUCCCAUGCGCCGAAACAUGACACUGCUACAACGGGAUCCUCAUACAAUCUCCCAAGUUACAAAUAAAAAAAAA